UUUGAAAUAGGUAAAAGCCUAGGGAUGUGACCAUUACCUAGGUGUUUGCCUAAUGGGAUAAAAAUCUUUAUGCUUGUUUUGUUGAUCGGGGUGUAUUAUAGCUAUCAACUCUCAAUUACCCACUCAGUACCUCUCGGACAGAGAAUGGUUUUGCCCAGUUUGGCUUUCUCAAGUCCAAAUGGGUAUCACACAAUACAGUUGAUAAAAGUUCAAGUCGGGUUAUUACUAUCUCUAUGUUGAACCCUUUAAUUGGGUUAAUCAAUCUCUUAAUUGACCCAAUUUCUUGUUAGCUAAGUUUUCAUAGAAUAAGUCUCUCUUUCUCAAGUAGAGACUAAGUUAAAUAGGCAUGAACUAAUGUUUGCAAUCAUUAAUUCCACAAAUUAAAGCAUGAACUAGGCUAAAUAAUAAACAAUCAAUUAUAAACAAGCACUAAUUUAAUUACCCAUAAGGUGAACACACUAGGGUUGGGUCACAACCCUAAUAAAAAAUUAGCUACUCAUGCUUGAAAUUGAAGAAAGAGAAGAAAUACUAAUUAAACUCAUAAUGUAAAGUUAAAAUGAUAAAAGCUAUAGUAAAAUACACCAAAGUAUAGAAAACUUCCAAAUGAGGCAAAGAAAAACGGUUAUAGGACUUGCUGAUGUCAAAACUUCACCUAAGGCCCUUCGGGAGGUUCUGCGGCCGCACAAUUCCAUGUGCGGUCCACACAAUUCUUUAUAUGGCAGGAGCUGGUAUUCUGCGGCCGCACAAUUCUGAACUGUGACCGCGAGAUAAUAUUUCUGCAGUCCACAGAUUUAGCACUGCGGCCACAAGGCCCUCUUCUGCGGUCCGCAAUAGUAUGAUUGCAGCCGCAAGAGAAUCUUUUAAUGCCGCACAAAUCUUUUGCGGACCGUAAUUCAAUGAAGCUUUGGACUUGGCUGUUUUAUCAUCUCUUUGAUCUUGGUCUUGAGCCCUUCUUUUUUGGCCGCACAAUUCAUGUGCGGUCCGCAAUUUGCACGAAAUUUUGCUGGGUUUUCCUUCUUCGGUUGCGGCCGCAGAUAGAAUUCUGCGGACCACAAUUUCUUCUACAGACUGCACUUUGUAUACUUUUGUGCCCUUUUAUUGCCUUAUGCUCGGACUACUCCUCUUUGAGCCAGAUUUCAUCUCGAUAGUCCAACUUCCAACAUUCCUGCAAUUUUGCACAUUUCAUUAGUUUCUGGAAUGCAAUUCAAUGCUUUUAGACUAAAACAAAAGCUAAAAGGCGCUAAUAAGUAGUCAAAAUCUUCACUUAUCAAAUCCCCCAAACUUAAGUCUUUUCUUGUCCUUAAGCAAACAAAAUAGUUCCCACCUCCACAAGUUAAGGGUCAUUUCAGCCAGUCAAAGGUGAGCCAUUCACACAUCAGUUGGGACUAAUAAUUACCUAUACUACUUAUGUAUUAUCAAAAAGGCAACAAGUUAAACAUUUAUGCACAUAGAGUUCUAGUGUGACACUUGAGCAUCAAGAGUUGACUUUACUUAUCAAGGAAGCUCGCUCUCUCAUGUAGGUCAUUGUGGAUCCUAAACUCCUCCUCCUCUACUCUCCGUUUGCCUAGCUCACUUAAGAAUUUUAGCACUCAGUCCAAAGACUUAUGAAAGGUUCACUCAUCUCUCUCAAGAGAAUGUCGCAAGUACGGCUUCAAGUACCAUAGGCUUGCCCCUCAUAUAGAUCGCCACUAAUGUAAGCUUACUCGGCUUGAAAUCAGGUAGGACUUCUUUUGGGAUGUAAUGAAGGCUUUUGGGUUAGGGUUGGAUACAAUAUGGUUGAGUGGUUACACCUUUCCUUAAGCACUCCAUCUUUUUAUUCUCGGCUCACACCUUGCCAAUUCUUUGAGGCAUUUUCUUUUCCUUGGGGGACUAGAGAGACUUAACAUCACUCUUUCUUGAUUAUUACACUCAUAUUUCUUCAUGUUUGGGCUCAUUGCCUUUCUUUGAAUCCCUUCAACUCUUUUACUUAUUCAUUUUUGUUGCAAUUUUCUUUUUGUUCUUUUCUUUUCUUUGCCUUUUCUUCUCAUCAUUGUUAUUUCUUUUUUUGUGUCUUGAUACCCUUUUUUAAUUUCCUCGUCUCUCCCCCAAACUUACGUUUUUAGCCAUUUGUUUCACAUGAGUGUUAAGGAAAGCUCGGGUGCCAAGAGAGGGUCACCAUAGAAUGGGUAAAGACUUGUAACAUGAUUUUCAAAUGAGAAAGGCUAAAGGCUCGAAGAGGAUGAUUAGGGAUGACAUCAUUGGUAGGCAAUAGUGAACUCAAACGGGCCAAGGAAAGCCUACAAUCACUUUUCAAGCCAAGCAAAACUUAAGAUUUCACCUUGAAACACAUUUGGGGCAAGUUCUAGACCUUUCACACGGGGACUUGGACUAACAACAAAAUAUCUCACCCUUCACGCAACUGGAUUAUUAAAGAGGAAAGAGUCGAGGGCACACAAUGACCACAUUCAAGAUUGAAAAUCACUAUGGUUCUAUUAAAUCACUCGAUGGUUGCCUAAGUCAACACAAGAGUCACAAAGUCACUAACUAGAGCUAUUUCUUAUUUCUAACCAUAAGCACGUAGUUAAGUGUGUUGGUACCAAGUGAAGCAUGUUUGACUCUUCGAGCAUGACUUAAUUAGGUCUUUUUAUUUAUUACUACUACUAUUAUUACCUAAACACAAAAACAGACUCAGUCCCUUAAGAAGGUUGUCACGCCAUCCAUCGUUGGGAAGAGUCACCUAGUUUACACAAAAAAAUUACCUUUGGAAAGAACCGUGGCAUUAAGAAAACCAAAGGCUUAUUAUCUACUAAAACAUAAAAAGAAGCUACUAAAUCAAGAAGAAGCUAUUAAUUUAAAAAUAAGCUACUCACUUAAACACUAACUAAUAAUAAAACAAGCAUAAAGAAGCUACAAAGAAAAAACUAUUGAAAACCUAACGAAUAUACACAAUGGGGGAGAAGGAGAAGAUAUAUACAUAAUGAGAGAAGAAGAGAGAAUAUAUACAGAAUAAGGAGAGAAGAAAAAUAAUGUCAAGUUAUUACAAACUAAUUGUCUCAGAAUCAUCAAAUAAGAUCAAAUAAACUCCACCUCCCCCCCCUCCCCCACAUAAAAAUAAGCAUUAUCCCCAAUACUUAACAAAAUAAAAGUAAAGGAAGGGAAAGAGUAAAGAAGACUCCCUAUGGCUCCUUGGACAUCUCUAUGCCCCCAGCAAUGUCACCACCCUCAGUCUCUUCCAACUGGAUCUCAUCAUCCUCAACUCUGGGAGUUACUGGGUUGGUGAACAUCUGACGCACUGCCUCGACAGUGUCGGCAGCAGAGUCUGGCUCCACAGACUGGCCAACUGGUGCCACCAGUACUGUAGGUGCUGUAGGAUCUGGGCCUAGGUGGUGUGGGUCAAUCACCAUGUCGAAUGGAAUAUCUUCGCCUGCAGCAAGCUUAGUAACCUGUCUCCGGAGUUGUCCACUGACUUCUUGGAGGCCUGGGAUUUUCUCAUCUUCUUUACUUCAUUGUCCAGCUCUUCGAUCACUGACCCAUGUUGCACCAAUGUAGCCAUAAUUUGUUCUGGUUCUCCAGGAGCUUCUUCAGAUUUUCUUCCACUGAUGGGGGCAUAUGAGGUGACAAAAUAGAAGUCUGUGCUGCAACAGUACUGGAUAGGUCAGACAACUUUGCAGUGACUGUCUAUAUCUAGUUGUUGAGGCUUGCCAAUGUAUAGGAGACUCGCAGCGUAGAAAGUGAAGCAGUAGGCAUGCGCACCGGAUUCAAAGCCAAGGUGGAACCUAUGGCUGGAAUUGCUGUGGGAACUGAGGAUAGUGGUGGAGGCAUGGCUGUAGCACUAGAUGAGGGCUCGACUGUAGUGGAUGGAAUAUCAACUUCCUCUGCAACUACCACCGAUGGCUCAUCAGACUAGCCUGUGGUGGUAGACGGUUGACCCUUUUUCUUAGGGUUGUGUGCAUCCAUCAGUGAGUACCAUGAGAAGGGCUUCUUCGGCCGCACCUGUUGGGAUACGGGUAGGAUGUGUCAGCUUGCCGAGCGACUAUAGAGAUGUUGGCCGACAUCACGGCACCCAUAUUGAUGGGGUACCCAGCAAUGAUGGAAGCAACUAGAACAUCUCGGGGGAUAGGAAGAUAUGUCUCAUUCUAGCACGAGUCUAGUAUGCUGCAUACAAAGGUUUGCCACCCCUUUGCCUCAAAGCUCAGCGUACUCCUCUGAAUAGAAACCCCUGCUGUAAUCCAUGGUGGUGGUGGCCCAGGAGCUGCUAAAAUCUUUUCUAGCCAAGGACGAGCUGCAUCCCCAAGUGCACAUUUCUUUAAGUACUAUGUGGGCUCAACAUCAUCAAACCCCAAGUAAGUGUUCAAUGUAUGCUGAUCAAAUCGCACUUUGAGGUUCCUCACUUCAGUCACCUUUGUCCCUUUCUUGAUAUGCGCCGCAUUGACGUAGUUUCCCCGGACAAGGUACUCCUUCGCAUCCACCACGCUUCGUGUAAACCACAUCUACUCUUUGCAUUCCCGAAACUGCCUCAAAACUGCAGGGUUAUACUUUUCUAAAUCUUUCAACUGAAAUUGUCGCUCAAGAGUAAGCGACCUCACUAGACACCAAUCACGGAAGCUGGAGCAAGCAGCCAAACUGACAAACCGGUCCUCCCACACCUCUUUCUUCUUCGACCGCUCAAGACCGACACUGUAGCAUCUUCUCAUCUGCAAUCAUCGGGGAUGUCUUGAACUGAUGUCUCUGGUGCCUGGGGGACAGGUGUAGUAGAAGGCUCAAAAGCCUGACUGACACUCUCCAAACCCUCAGAAGUGCUAUGUGAUGUGGAUGACUCAUCCUUGAGAUAAUUCCUCUAUGGUGGCCUUAACUGGACAACCAGUUGCUCAUGUACAGAGGCUGAGUUUCCCUUUGAUGCAUCCCUAGAUGGAGCAUAAGAACUGGUAUCGGAAAGGCCUACACCUCUCCCUCUGCCGGCUACUAUUUUCUUUCUGAUUUCAAGCUAUUGGGCACUAGGUAAGGGUCUCUUCCUUCGUCCCCGAGAAGGGUCACCCCGUCCUUUUGAAGUGUCGCCUCUGCCUCUAGAUCGAACCAUUUUCUGUACCAAGCAAAGGCUAUUGUUAGAUGCAAUUCAAGUUCUGACAUACAAUGAAUGUAAUGAUACACCAGAAGAUACAGUAAGGAACAUAGUUGAAACAUGUUUGCAGGGUAGGGAUUUGCGGUCCGUAUAUCUUUCAUUGCGAUCGUAGAAUGGGACUUGCAGACCGCACAAUUCUCUUUUGCAACUGCAGAACUGGAUUGCGGUCCGCACUUUUUUCAUUGCGGCCGCAACUUAGAUACCACAAAUAUGCCAACUCUCUGAUAACAUAGAAUUAGCUAUUUUGCGACCGCAACCAGUUUUCUACGGUCCGCAUAAAUUGUCUUGCGGUCGUACAUGUGAGUCACCAAGUUGACAACUCUCUGAUCUCAGGAAAAAUGCUGUUCUGCGGUCUGCACAAUUUUCUUGCGGCCACAGAACCAUUCCUUUCUAAAGUACACUAGACUCAACUUCUGCGGACCGCACAAUUUCUUGUGCAGCCAUAGAUUUUAAACAUUAACGAAUAAGCAGUACAUUUUGCCUAGGGCUUGCAAUUUUAUUUUGCAUUAUUUUGACAUGGAAACAACAUCUAAGCAUGUAAAUCUAUUAACCCAUUCCCCCUAGAGCAUUUUUCAGGCUACCCACUACAGAUUUACCCCACAUGGUUAUUCAAUUAGACUCAAUAGACAAAUGGUCUAAGUGUAAGAGAUGAGUGAUCAACAGUUGCUAGGCGUGUAGGCAGACAAUUUAAGAUGAAAUUUCUAAUUUGUGCAAGGUGUGAGCUUAGAGAGGGAAAAGGGGAACAAUGCCCUAGCCUCUCUAUUUAUACUGUUCGAUGUUUGCCAAGGGAAGGGGAAGUGAGUGCAGCCACAGAAUUCCAAUUGCGGUCCGCACUCUGUUACCUGGGAGCUUAGUUACCCUUUUGUUUUGCGGUCCGCAAAAUUGUGCAUGCAGCCGCAUAUUUUGUUGCGGACCGUAGAAUUUUUGGUGCGGCCGCAAAAUGGCCAUUUUUCUGACGGACCAACUUCAGAGAGUUGUCAUUUUUUACCUUCAAUUUGUGCGGCUCGCAAUGUAAUUGUGCGGCCACAAAGCACCUUUUGCUGCAACAACCAUAAUUGUGCGGUUCACACAAUAAAAUUGUGGUCCGCAAUCCUUUCCACAGUUAACCAAAUUUCUAGGCAUAAUUCCUGUAAAGCACACUCAUCCCUGCAACACACUUCAAAUCCAGUUAGCACAAAAAUAAUACCUAACUACAAAAGAUGAAAAGAAAAGAAAAGAAAAAAAAACAUGGGUUGCCUCCCAAGAAGCGCCUGAUUUAAUAUCGCGGAACGACGCAGAUUACCAUCAUUUGAAAUGAAUCACCGCCAUGAUGUGGCCAUCACCAACCUUUCCCAGGUAGUGCUUCACCCGGUGACCAUUGAUUCAGAAUACCUCAUUGUUUUUGUUCUUCAAGUCCAAUGCACCAAAAGGUGUCACACCCACUAUUUCAAAGAGACCACUCCAUAUAGACUUUAGCUUUCAAGGAAAGAUCCUCAAUCGUGAGUUGAACAAUAAUACAAGAUCACCCACCUUGAACUCUUUGUUCCCAAUGUAUUUGUCAUGAAGAUAUUUCAUCUUUUCUUUGUACAAGGACGAACUUGCAUAAGCAUGGUACCGAAACUCAUCCAAUUCAUUCAAAUGUGCAACCCUCAAGUUAUCGGCUACAUCCCAAUCAAGAUUCAACUUAUUUAGAGCCCACAUGGAUUUGUGCUCAAGUUCCACCAGAAGAUGACAAGCUUUGCCGAACACCAACCGGUAUGGAGACAUUUCGAUAGGAGUUUUGAAAGUAGUCCGAUAAGCCCAUAAUACAUCAUCAAGCUUCUUGGAUCAAUCCAUUCGGUUAGCAUUCACUGUUUAAUCUAGAGAUUCUUGGACCAAUCCAGAGAUUCUGGGUUCGAUCCCCGGCAACGGCCAAAAAUUAAAUCGCGCUAAAAUGCACACCUCAAAACAAUGUAUGAAACAGUCGAUUGCAAUUAUAGUAACCCAAGGAAGAGUCGGGAUCGAAUCCAUAGGGAGCUAGAUGGGAGUUAGGAGUAUAUAUUCUAAUACGUGAAAUUGAAUUAUCUUAAUUUGCACUUUCAUAAGAAAGUAAGUUAUGAGUAAUAAUUUAGAUACUCAUGCUUGAAAUUGAAGAAAGAGAAGAAGAAAUACUAAUUAAACUCAUAAUGUAAAGUUAAAAUGAUAAAAUCUAUAGUUAAAUACACCAAAGUAUAAAAAACUUCCAAAAGAGGCAAAGAAAAAUGGCUAUAGGACUUGUUGAUGUAAACAAUUUACCUAAUUUUAUGAAACUCGUCUAUUUAUAUAAGGCUGGAAAUUUCAGACAAAAAUGCCCUUCGGGAGGUUCUGCGGCCGCACAAUUCCAUGUGCGGUCCGCAGAAUUCUUCAUCUGGCAGGAGCUGGUAUUCUGCGGCCGCACAAUUCUGAACUGCGGCCACGAGAUAAUAUUUCUGCGGUCUGCAGAUUUAGCACUGCAGCCGUAAGGCCCUUUUCUGCGGUCCGCAAUAGUAUGAAACCGCACAAAUCUUUUGCGGACCGCAAUUCAAUGAAGCUCUGGACUUGGUUGUUUUGUUAUCUCUCCGAUCUUGGUCUUUAGCCCUUCUUUUGCGGCCGCACAAUUCAUGUGCGGCCCGCAAUUUGCAUGAAAGUCUGCUGGGUUUUCCUUCUUUGGUUGCAGUCGCAGAAUUUCUUUUGCGAACCACACUUUGUAUGCUUUUGUGCCUUUUUGUUGCCUUGUUCUCGGACUACUCCUCUUUAAUUCGGAUUUUAUCUCGGGAGUCCAACUUCCUACAUUCCGACAAUUUUGCAUAUUUCAUUAGUUUCGGGAAUGCAAUUCAAUGCUUUUAGACUAAAACAAAAGCUAAAAGGCGCUAAUAAGUAGUCAAAUCCUCACUUAUCAAGUAUGCAUAUGGUUUUAUCACUGUGUUGCAUUGCAUUCGACAUGCACACUUGACAUACAGGUAUAGGGAUGCAUUUUUCUCAUGAUGUACGGUAUUGCGUCAUUCAUGACUUCACAUACACAUUGAUAUGUAGGCAUAGAGAUGUACUUUUCUCAUGCCAUCUGAUAAUAAAACAUUUACAUGUUGAAAGUUUUGGGAAAAUCCACAGUGUUGCAAACUUACUUAUAUUUUGGUGAUUUCAGUAAAAGAUUUGGGUUUUACUAUUAUACUUGAAAAGCAUGACUAUUUUCCGCAACGGUGAACUAGUUGAGCAUCAUAUUUCUGAGUUAUUUCUUGUACCACUUUUAUUAUAUUGUUAUGAGUUGUUGUUGGCUAUUGGUAUUGGACUCUAACCUUCGUCCCAGCUCGUCACUACUUUCAACCUAAGGUUAGGUUUGUUACUUAUUGAGUAUAUGGGAUCGGUUGUACUCAUACUACACUUCUGCACUUUGCGUGCAGAUUUGGAUGCUGAUGUUGUUGUGUAUGGCGGGAGCUAGCAUUGAAGAUGUACCUGUGUUCCGGUCAUAGCUACCUCUUAUCCUUGGUAGCUUUAAAAAUUAUGAAUUUGUUCAUGUAUAUUUCAAAUAGAUAAUGUAUUUAUUUCAUACCAGUUAUGUAAAUUCUAAAAGUUCAGUUGUAUUAUCAUUACUUCCCUUAAUGAAUCUCAUUUGAUUGGUUUAUUGUUAAGUGGCUUACCUAGUGGGUUGGGUUAGGUUCCAUCACGACUAGUUGAAUUUUGGGUCGUGACUCCAAACUCUUUGCAAUUGCGAAGAAGUACUAUUUUGCCAGGCAUCACAAAUGCGACCAAGUGAUCGCAAAUGUGAUCCUGAGUUGUUCGCAAUUGCGAACCAUUUCCUCGCAAAUUCGAGGUUACCCAAUCCCGGGCCUUGCUCGCACAUGUAAAUUUUUGUUCAGAAAAAGCGAGGCUCGCAACUGCGAGCCAGACGUUGCAAAUGCAAGAUCUGCAGCAGGCACUAGAGCUGGUAUUGCACCAGCAAUCUUCACACUAGCAAAACUCAUCUGAAACACGUGUGAAACUCACUCGAGCCCCUCGGGCUUCAAAUCAAAUAUGCACACAAGUAUAAUAAUAUGAUACGAACUCGUUCGCGUGAUCAAAAUGCAAAUCGGACAUCAAAAUGCAUGAAAUUUUAAAAGAAAUUCAAGAACUUUCAAAUUCACAACUGAGCGUCUGAAUCCUACCAAAUCAACUCCGUUUUACACCAAAUUUUGCAGACACGUUUUAAAUAGUACAAUAAACCUAUACCAAGUUCCGUAAUCGAAAUCCGAAUAAAGUAGUAGUAAAGGCAACCGACGGUCAAAAUUAAGAAUUCUUUAAACCUUCAAAUUACUAAUUUUUAAUAAAUCAUGUCAAAUCAAGUUAGGGACUUCCAAAUUCAAUUCCGCGUAUACGCCCAAGUUCAAAAUCACGAUACGGACCCACUAGAAUUGUCAAAAUAUAGAUCCAGGUCCGUUUACACAAAAUGUUGACCGUAGGCAACUCAUAAAGCUAAAAUUCAUGUUUUCUCCAAUUUUUUGCAUAAAAUAUUUUCGGAAAAAGACAUGGACUGUGCACACAAAUCGAAAAAAUACUAAAACAGAGCUAAUCGAGGUUUCGAAACACGGAAGUAAGGGCUAAAACUCAAAAUGGCCUAUCGGGUCAUCCCAUUUAUGAUCUAAAAUAUUUUUCAGCUAUUUAUUCUAAUUAUUAACUAUAAUAUUCAAAUAUUAGACAUAUCUCUUAAUAAAAAAUAUAUAUCAUUUGAGUAGGAAUAAAGUAAUUCAAAUAUAAGGAGAAUAUAUAUUGUCUUUCAUACAUACAAUUCAAAAUAACAUAUAGAGAUCGAUCUAGGAUUUAAGCUUUAUAUGUUUAACGUUUAAGGUUUUUCAGAGAGAUAGUUAGAGAGAUAGUUAUUAUUUCUAUAGAGGAGGACAUUAAGGCAUUGAUACACUCUCAUAUUAUUUAUAUUCACAUAGAAAAACAUACUGAUAUUUAUAUUGAGAUUAUCCUCUUGUGAGCUUUAUACAUUGAUUCAUCUUGCUUGUUUAUAAAAUAGUUUUCUAUUUCAAUUUGGUUGGUAUUUCAUUCUUCAUACAGUUAAUACCCAGUAUAUUUCUACUUACUUUCCGAUUUAUGCCAAGUUAUACCACGCACCCUUAGAACUACGUAUAAAUUCAACUCUAUCUAUUUUUCUGGUAAACAGUUUGGCGCCCACAAAAUACACCAUUUUACACUUGCUCUUGGAAGUAUCUUUGAUUUCAGGUUGAAAACGACGAAUUCUCAAUUAAUGGCCCUACCUAUCAACAAUGGAGCUGGCCUUCAAGACGAGAACAACAACUUAACCCCCAUGGGUGGAAGGCCACUCAUCGAUCCCGUUGGAGCUCGGGUCGAAGAUCCAAUAGACGUCAAUUCACAUGCGGCCAUCGAGGCGAACCAACAUUUCGACCCUGAAAACAACAUUCAUGGUGGAACUCGAUCUGCAACUCAAAAUACCCAAAAUGCUGAGAAAAACAGAAUCAGCUUGCAUAUGAUCUUCGAGAUAUUGCAAGCUCAACAAGUAGCAAUAGCCCAGUUGCAGAGCCAAACCCAGGUACCGACCAGACUCGAGCCCAGUCCACCCCAAGAAGUCACCCACAAAAUGAGGCUAGCUAUAAAAAGGUCAAAUGAGCAAGAAUCGGGGAUUAAUCCCGAAAUCGUUAAGAUGCUCGAAGAACUGACAAAACGAAUAGAGUCAGGAGAAAAGAGGAUCGAGAAAAACGACAAAAAAAUGGAAACAUACAAUUCCAGGGUUGAUCAGAUCCCGGGGACACCACCGAUAUUGAAGGGCUUAGAUUCCAAUAAAUUCAUACAAAAGCCUUUCCCCCCGAGCGCAGCUCCUAAAACUAUCCCAAAUAAGUUUCGCAUGCCCGAGAUUCCUAAAUAUAAUGGAACGACCGACUCCAACGAACAUGUCACCUCUUACACAUGUGCCAUCAAAGAGAACGAUCUAGAGGAUGAUGAAAUCGAAUCUGUAUUAUUGAAAAAAUUCGGUGGAUCCCUAUCAAAGGGAGAAAUGAUAUGGUAUCAUAAUUUAUCAUCUAACUCUAUUGAUUAUUUUGCUAUGCUUGCAGAUUCUUUCGUAAAAGCACAUGCUAGAGCCAUAAAGGUCGAGACUAGGAAGUCGGACCAAUUCAAGGUAAGACAAAAGGAUAACGAGAUGCUAAGAGAAUUCGUAUCUCAUUUCCAAAUAGAGUGAAUGGAUCUACCACCAGUCACAGACGAUUGGGCUGUUCAAGCUUUCACUUAAGGUCUAAACGAACGAAGCUCGAUGGCUUCACGACGGCUGAAGCAUAACCUGAUUGAGUACCCACUAUUACUUGGGCCAAUGUGUACAAUCGUAUCAAUCCAAAAUAAGAGUCGAAUACGACCAAUUGGGUUCUGUGUCCGAUAUUAAAAGGGAUAUCGACCGCGAACCAAGGUCAAACAAGGAUCAAUACUGGCCGUAUAAUGGAGAUCGUAGGGCUAUCGAACCUUCACGCAACCCCGUACGAGGCAAAAAGAGAAAUGAUCAAGGCCAAGGGUCUCGGGGGAUGAUGAACAGGAAUGGGUUCGACACACAUACCGGACCUAAGGAAGCACCUCGGUUAUCGGAGUAUAACUUCAGUAUCGAUGCAUCCGCUAUCGUAUCCGCUAUCGGACGCAUCCAAGAUACUAAAUGGCCUUGACCUAUGUAGAACAAUCCUGCCCAGAGGAAUCCCAAUCAAAUGUGCGAAUAUCAUGGCACUCAUUCCACAGAACGGAAGAUUUCAAGCAACUAAGAGAAGAGGUAGCUCGGUUAUUCAACAAAGGGCACCUUCGAGAAUUUUUAAGUGACAAGGCCAAAAACCAUUUCAAAAAUAGGAAUUUUAAUAGACAAAAUGAACAAGAAGAGCCACAACACAUCAUCCACAUGAUCAUUGGUGGGAUCGAUACCCCAGGGGUCGGUGUUUAAAUGCACUAAGAUGUCAGUUGUAAGAGAAAAGUGAUCCCGGACUCAGGAUUACACCCCUGAAGGAACCUUGUCCUUUAAUAAUGAAGACAUGGAAGGAAUCAUGCAACCACAUAACGAUGCACUAGUAAUAUAUAUGUACUUAUGAAUAAAACUCAAGUUAAAUGUGUGUUAAUUGAUCCAGGUAGUUCGACCAACUUCAUUCGAUCAAGGGUCGUAUAGCAACUUGGUCUACAGGACCAGGUCAUGCCCGCGACCUUGGUACUAAACAGAUUCAAUAUGGCAUGUGAAACUACUAAGGGAGAAAUAAUCUUUCCAGUUAACGUGGCCGGAACCAUCCAAGAAACGAAGUUCCACAUGAUCGAAGGCGAUAUGAGAUACAACGCCCUGUUCGGAAGGCUGUGGAUCCAUAAUAUGAGGGUUGUACCCUCGACCCUCCACCAGAUUUUGAAGUUCCUAACAUCGGAGGGAAUCAAAACGGUCUAUGGGGAGCAACCGACCGCAAAAGAAAUGUUUGCCGUCGAUGAAGUGAUUUCGAUGUCAUCAUUAUCAUCAGCAAAAGGAUCGGAUUCGAAGGAGAAACGGAAUACCAAAUAGCAAUUACAAACAUCAGCUUCGACCCAAUUAGAGAAUUAGAAGACUGACGGAGAUGAUGAACAUAGGAUCCCUAGAUCUUUCGUGGUUCCCGAUGAUUCCGACACCACCCAAUCAACAAUCGAAGAACUGGAGCAAGUCAUACUAAUCGAAUAUCUGCCCGAACGAAAGGUAUACCUAGGCACAAGGUUAGAUCCCGAGCUCAGGAGAAAGCUUAUUCAAUUUCUUAUAGCUAACAUAGACUAUUUUGCUUGGUCCCAUCUUGACAUGAUAGGGAUUCCACCGGGAAUCACCACUCAUAAGCUAAGCUUGGACCCAAAAUUCCACCCGGUAAAACAAAAAAGGAGGCCCCAGUCCGAGGUCAAACACGCCUUCAUCAAAGACGAGGUAACCAAACUUCUUAAAAUAGGGUCCAUUCGGUAAGUAAAGUACCCCGAAUGGCUAGCAAAUGUGGAGGUAGUCCCUAAAAAUGAGAACAAACUUAGAAUGUGUAUAGAUUAUAAAGAUCUGAAUAAAGCAUUCCCUAAGGAAUCUUUUCCUUUGCCUUAUAUCGAUCGUAUGAUCGAUGACAUGGCCGACCACGAGACUCUCAAUUUUCUUGAUGCCUAUUCCGGUUGCAACCAAAUACAGAUGAACCUGGAGGAUCAAGAAAAGACCUCAUUUAUCACUAAGUACGGGACUUACUGUUAUAAUGUAAUGCCAUUUGGCCUAAAACAUGCUAGUGUAACGUACCAACGCCUAGUAAAUAGAAUGUUCGAAAAGCAAAUAGGAAAAUCAAUGAAAGUUUAUAUUGAUGGCAUGUUGGUUAAAUCCCUGCGAGCAGAGGACCAUUUAAAGAAUUUGCAAGAAACUUUCGACAUACUAAGGGAGUACAAUAUGAAGCUCAAUCCCGAAAAAUGUGCUUUUGGGAGUUGGCUCGGGCAAGUUUCUCGUUUUCAUGGUGUCCAAUCGAGAAAUCGAGAUUAACCCCGAUAAAAUCAAAUCAAUCGAAGACAUCACAGUGGUAGAUAAUGCAAGGGUCGUGCAAAGGCUAAUGGGACAGAUAGUCGCCCUGGGACGAUUCAUUUCGAAUCAUCGGAUAGGAGCCACCGAUUUUUCUCUUUGCUUAAAAAGAAAAGCAAUUGUUCAUGGACUCUGAAAUGUCAGCAGGCUUUGGAAGAGCUAAAACGGUAUCUAUCGAGCCCUUCAUUGCUUCAUACCCCAAAGGAAGACGAACAACUUUACCUAUAUCUAGUUGUCUCGGAUGUAGCGGUAGGUGGAGUCCUAAUUCGAGAAGAGCGAGGUAUGAAAUUGCCUAUUUAUUAUGUCAGUCGAACUCUAGGCGAGGCCGAAACUAGAUAUCCAUACUUAGAAAAAUUAGUGCUUGCUUUAAUAAGUGCCUCUAGGAAGUUAUAACCACAUUUCCAGUGCCAUCCGAUACAUGUUGUAACAACUUAUCCUCUACGAAAUAUUUUACACAAACCUGAGCUUUCAGGUCGAUUGGCUAAAUGGGCCAUAGAGAUCGGCGGGUACGACAUCGAGUAUCGACUUCGAACCGCCAUCAAAUCCCAAAUCUUAGCGGACUUCGUGGCUGACUUUAUGCCAGCCUUCGUACCUGAGAUCGAAGAGGAAUUACUGAUAAAAUCGGGUACCUCUUCGGGAAUUUGGACCCUCUUUACGGACGAUGCCUCGAACGCAAAGGGGUUCGGACUGGGCAUCGUACUAAAAUCGCCCACAGGUAAUAUAGUUAGAUAGUCUAUUAAAACUACAAAAUUGACUAACAAUGAGGCCGAGUAUGAGGCCGUGAUUGCAGGUCUCGAACUAUCUAGAAGCUUGGGAGCCGAGAUCGUGGAGGCUAAAUAUGAUUCCCUCCUCGUGGUAAAUCAAGUCAACGGAACUUUUGAAGUCCGAGAAGAUCGAAUGCAGAGGUACUUGGAUAAAUUGCAAGUGACUCUACGUCAAUUUAAGGAAUGGACUUUGUAACAUGUACUUCGAGAGCAGAACAGUGAGGAUGACGAACUCAACUCGGGGACUGUCAUGGAACUCAUGAAAUCGGUAAUCUAGGAAGGUCAUGCUGAGAAAAACUCCACAAGUCUAACCUGGGAUUGGAGAAACAAAUAUAUAGAGUACUUCAAGAAUGGGAAACUUCCAUCGGAUCCAAAGGAAUCGAGAACUCUACGCACAAAAGUUGCACGGUUCACCUUAUCCAAUGAUGGAACGCUGUUUAGAAGGACGUUCGAUGGUCCACUGGCAAUAUGUUUGGGACUAGGAGAUAAUGUUUGGGACUAGGAGAUACCGACUACAUCCUACGUGAGAUUCACGAGGGCACUUGUGGGAAUCAUUCCGGUGCCGAUUCAUUAGUCCACAAAAUAAACAGAGCAGGAUAUUACUGGAUCGAUAUGGAUAAAGAUGAAAGGGAGUUCAUUCGAAAAUGCGACAAAUAUCAAAGACAUGCACCCAUGAUUCAUCAACCCGAGGAACUUCUCCACUCGGUCCUAGCUCCUUGUCCUUUCAUGAAAUGGGGAAUGGAUAUCAUCGGCUCCCUCCCAUCGGCCCCAGGUAAGGCUCAGUUUAUUUUGUUUAUGACUGAUUAUUUCUCUAAAUGGGUUGAAGCACAUGAUUUCGAGAAAGUCAGAGAAAAUGAGGUGAUAGACUUCAUUUGGGACCACAUCAUAUGUCAGUUCGGGAUGCCAUCCGAGAUUGUAUGUGACAAUGAAAAGUAAUUCAUCAGAAGCAAAGUAAUCAAAUUUCUCGAAGAUCACAAAAUCAAAAGGAUCCUAUCAACACCUUAUCAUCCCAGCGGUAACGGACAUGCCAAAUCGACUAACAAAACCAUCAUCCAAAAUCUUAAGAAAAGAUUAACCAACGCUAAAGGAAAAUGGAGAGAAAUACUACCCGAAGUCCUAUAGGCAUACCGCACAACAUCAAAAUUGAGUACCGGAGCAACACCAUUCUCGUUGGUUUAUAAUGCCGAAGCUCUUAUCCCGGUUGAGGUCGGAGAACCUAGCAUCAGGUUUCGAUAUGCAACAAAUGAGUCGAAUAAUGAGACGAUGAACACGAGCCUUGAAUUAUUGGACAAAAAAUGAGAAGCGGCCCUCGUCCGAUUAGCUGCUAAAAAACAGCGGAUCGAAAGGUAUUAUAAUCGAAGAACCAAUCUUCGAUAUUUUAAAAUCAAGGACUUAAUGCUAAGGAAAGUUACCCUCAACACCCGAAAUCCAAAUGAAGGAAAACUGGGUCCUAACUGGGAAGGAUCGUAUCAGAUUCUCGAAAUCGUCGGUAAAGGAUCAGCUCGGUGUGAUAAAUGAUAAACAACUACCAAGCAAUUGGAAUGUUUGGCACCUAAAAUGAUAAUACUGCUAAGGUACGGCCCUCCCAUGUUCAUUUAUAUUUCGAUACUAACCCUUGCAGGAGUUUGACCAGGAACAGGGAUGGAUUAGUCAACCCGAAGCCUUCAGGCCCGAAAGCACACGUUGCACUCUUUAUCCCUUAGACCAGUUUUUAUCCUAAAUGGGUUUUUCUGCAAGGUUUUUAAUAAGGCAACCAUUGAUCGUGCUAACUUAGAAUAAUUCGACAGUAUCCAAGGCCUCUUGACAAUCAACCUCAAAUACUGGGGGCAUUAUCAUCGGAUAUAUCAAGUUAUAUCAAGUUCGAUCAUCAAGUUCGAUGCAAAGAAGUUACUUCAUAACAACAGGGUUUCGAUAGGAAAAUUUAUAAGAGCCAAAUGGUCAAAAUGAACCAUGCUCGUGUAGUUAGCUCGAUCCCUGGUACAAAAACAUGAACACGUGUAUAAUGACAAAGAGAAAAUUCUCCUUUACCGAUAUCUCAUAUCUCAGAAUCCAUCCCCCAUUUCGCGAUCUAUUACGCAAACAGGCUCAAAGACCGACCAUUACCCCAUAAAUUGGGGACUGCCAAACCUAAAAAUCAAUGAGAUAAAGCCACAUAUAAAGCCUACGGGUUACAUCACUUCGAGUUCGAUCAAUCAUUCACUUGACUACUAAGCCUGAGGGCUAAUAUUAUUUCGAGUUCGAGCAAUCACUCACUCGACCAUAAAGGUUGCGGGCUAUAUCACUUCGAGUUUGAGCAAUCACUCACUCGACUACUAAUACUAAGGGCUAAUCUUAUUUUGAAUUCGAGCAAUCACUCAGUCGACCAUAAAGCCUACGGGCUACAUCACUUCGAGUUCGAGCAAUCACUCACUCGACUACUAUGCCUAAGGGCUAAUCUUAUUUUGAUUUCGAGCAACCACUCACUCGACUACUAAGCCUAAGGGCUAAUCUUAUUUCAAGUUCGAGCAAUCACUCACUCGACCAUAAAGCCUAUGGGCUACAUCACUUCGAGUUCGAGCAAUCACUCACUCGACCAUAAAGCCCACGGGCUACAUCACUUCGAGUUCGAGCAAUCACUCACUCGACCAUAAAGCCCACAUGCUACAUCACUUCGAGUUCGAGCAAUUACUCAUUCGACUACUAAGCCUAAGGGCUAAUUUUAUUUCGAGUUCGAGCAACCACUCACUCGACCAUAAAGCCUACCGGCUACAUCACUUCAAGUUCGAGCAAUCACUCACUCGACCAUAAAGCCCACGGGCUACAUCACUUCGAGUUCGAGCAAUACUCACUCGACUAUAAAGCCUAAGGGCUACCCCAACUCGAGUUCGAGCAACCAUUCUCACUCGGGGACUAUCUACGAAGCCCAAUGGCUACCUUAUUUCGAGUUUUAGUAAAUACUCACUCGACUACUAAGCAUACGGGCUACAUUACUUCAAGUUCGAAUAAGCAAUUGCUCGACUAUUAAGCCUAAGGGUUACUCUUACUUCAAGCUAGAGCUAACACUCACUCGGUUAUAAAGACUACAAGAUCCGACUUCGAUCAAAUUGCCUAAGGCCUUGACCUUAUGAAAACUUUCAUAAGGCAUGAAUGAAACAAAAUCUUCACAAGGUAGAGAAUAAAACAGAGAAAAGUCGGGAAAGGAAAAUAUCUUUAUAUAUAUAGAAGAGUAUUUACAAAGUCCGAUCAAAACCCUACACAAAAAAUCAAAAUGGAAAAAACCCUAAGUUUCUUGGUUAUCUCCGGGGGCAGUCUCUUAUCGAUCGGGCUCCUCCUCGCUCUCAGACCCACUCUUGCUCCCAUCAUCAUCAUCAUCAUCAUCAUCAGAAGCCAAGGCUUCGGCAUCGACUUCAAGCUCUUUAGCCUUUUUUAUCUCUUCGGUAAGAUCGAAACCUCGAACAUGGAUCUCCUCGAGGGUUUCCCUCUGAGAUUGGAAUUUGGCAAGUUCAGCAACCCAAUAUGCUCAAGUUUGAGCGGUCUCAGCUGCCUUUUUGCUUGUACUUGAGUGACUUCAGUAUCGGCCCGAUAGACGUCCACGAAUGCAUCCGCCUCGGCCUUUGCUUUUUCGGCUUCAGAUUUGGCCUUGGCAAGUACGGAAGCCAACCGAGCCUCGAGCUCCUCUAUUGUUCUUGCUUGAACCAAGCUCUUCUCUUUCAUGACUUGAAGUUGACUUUCAGCCGAUGAUAAUUAGGCUCGAGCAGUCUCUUUUUCUGUAGCAAGGCGGUCUAUGCCUUCUUUCCACCCCAAGGUCUCUGCCCUUAUCGUAUCGACCUCCUCACGAAGCAGCCCAAUCACCUCAAACUUCUGCUGCAGUUGUGAGAUCGAAAUAUUAGCCACUUCAGAAAAAGCAGGGAGAGUAGGAGAGUCUCCGAAUACUAUUGCCCCGAGCGAGUCGCUUGGGGAGUUCUCCUCAGUUCAAAGAGCUUCAGGGCUAUCCCCUUCAGAUAUACCCACCGUUUGUUGACGUCGGUGGAAGGCAUCCUCGAUCUUCAAUGACUCGGGGACUUUGUUCGAGUCCUUCUCCGACAUCCCCUUAGCUCGAGAUGGGGACUCAUCAAACGCCAUCGACCCCGCUGCCUUUGGGUCAUCGAUGAUUUUCUUCAAUUGGGCCACCAGUAUGGACCCGUAGUUUUCUUCUUCCUCUUCAUCUCCAUCCCUUAGACACCGAACUAUUUUUUUGGUCAAAAGGAUGGUGUUCUUCUUCGGCUUACAAUCCGUCUUUGUCUUAAGUGUUGGAUCCUCGAAGGUAGAGGCCUUUAUUCUUUUGUUGUCCUUUGCCAGUUUUGGAACCGGGGCCAAAAUCGUUUUCUCGCCAGACGGAGGCCUCAUAACAGCAUCUUUGCCCAGGCCUACACACAAAAACAUUGGUUAAGUAUAAGAAAAGCAUUUUGUUCGAAUCAUCAAAAACAUGGGAAAGAGGAUUACCAUGAUUUUUGGCCUCCCAUCGGCCCUUUGAUAAAUCGCGCCACUAGCGCUCGACAUAUGUAGAGGUCGAAGCCAUGUCCCGUACCCAGCUUUUAAGGUUAGGAACUGCACCGAGCAUCCAAGCAACCACUGCAUCGUAAAAAGUAUAUCAGUGAGAAAGAAACGAAGGAGCAAAAUAAUAUGAGCUAACAGUAGAAUUAUACUUACGUUUCAUGUUCCAUUCCUCAGGAAAUGGUAUCUUCUCGGCCAGGAUUAGGUUCGAAGUCUUCACUCGAAUGAAUCUGCCCAUCCAGCCCCGGUCCUUGUACUCGUCUAUGCUCAAGAACAUCACUUUGCUAGUCCGGCACUGGAGUUUUAUUAACCCACCUCGAUAUAGUAAUGAGAUGGUAGAGGGUGAAAGACAUCCCCUCAACUUUGUUCACAAAGAAGCGGAUCAGAAUAACAAUCCGCCAAAAAGAAAGGUGGAUUUGGCCUAGAGUUACUUGGUAUUGGCGGCAAAAAUUGAUGACAACAGGGUUGAGGGGGCCCAACGUGAAAAGGUAAGUGUACACACUUAAAAUUCCUUUCACUUGGGUAGUAAUAUCUUCUUCGGGAGCUGGGAUUAUCACUUCUUUGUUCUCCCAGUCACAAUCUUUCCUUAACCGUUCAAGGUGUCCUUUAGUUAUCGAGCACAUAUACCUCGAUACUGGUUCACUUCGACCGAAAACCGAAGAGGCUUUAUCGAUCUUAAAAUUAGAAGUAAGAACACAUACCCCGGGAACGCACUCCUCCGAUCGUUGCUCCACCGGUGUUUUGUCACCGGCAUGACGCGAAGAAGAAACACUUUCUUUUUGGGGAACAGUUUUUACGUUUUUGCCAUUUGGGUUUAAAGAUUAAAAAUAGAAGGACAUGACAAAGGUUUGGUGUUUUAAAGAGAGAUUUUGCAGUAAAAAUCACAUAUUUACAGAUAAAGAAGUCAGAAGACACAAGAAAGAACUUAGAAGAUUUGAAUAUUGAAGAUUUGUAAUUGAAGAUUUACAACAAUGGCCGACCAUCAUCUAACAUGCAUUUAAUGCCUUGGUUAUUGAACCGACGGGACAUCUACCACGUACGUCAUGGUCGGGCUCGAUACAAACGUCAGUGUAUAUCGAGUCAUACCGCUUGAAAAUCAUGUCGUUUCUCGCCAGAUCUUUACCGAGAAAUGAGGGGACUAUCUAUAUACGGUCAAAAUUAGUUUCGACCUUUGUAUGAUUAGUCAAGAUUGGAACAUAAUGGAUCGAAUGCCAUCUGCAUAAUAUCGGGUAUGAGAUCCAAAACUAGGUUACCAAGCUCAAGUUUCCGGGACCAAUUAAGUACCGAGCUCGAAGUCAAUACUGAGCUCGAUUCCAAAUCGAACUAUGAUGUGAGGCAGUGUUAUCGAGUUUAAAAGCCAGAGACCGACCAAUACCAAUCUAAAGUCAAUACCGGGUCCCGAGCCAAUAUCAAGCUCGAACCAAUAUCGAGCUCUAAACCUGGAAAUCGACCAAUACCAAGUUCGAUCAAGAUCGAGCCAAGAGACAAUAGUCGUUACAGCCGCACUAAGGGAGAGAAUUCGGCGGGAAUUAGGGAAAAGCUAAUCUAUCAUGGGAUCCCCACUAUGUAUUUUUAAUUAUAUCUAAAGUAGGAUCCCUCCACUAUAAAAGGUAUAGUUAUUAUUUCUAUAGAGGAGGACAUUAAGGCAUUAAUACACUCUCAUAUUAUUGAUAUUCACAGAGAAAAACAUACUGAUAUUUAUAUUGAGAUUAUCCUCUUGUGAGCUUUAUACAUUGAUUAAUCUUGCUUGUUCACAAAAUAACUUUCUAUUUCAAUUUGGUUGGUAUUUCAUUCUUCAUACAGUCAAUACCCAGUAUAUUUAUACUUACUUUUCGAUUUGUGCCAAGUUGUACCACGUAUCCUUAGAACUACGUAUAAAUUCAACUCUAUCCGUUUUUUGAACAGAAAACAUUAUACAUACCCAGGAGAUUGUACAUGGAAUCAACAAGAAGAAAAGUGAAAAAAAAUAAAGUAAUGAAGCUGGAUAUGUCUAAGGCAUAUGAUAAGUUGUCCUGGACAUUUCUCACCUAUGUACUCAGAAAAGUAGGAUUCUCUGAAUUGGUCAUUGAACUAAUAUAUCGACUAAUUUCUAAUAAUUGGUACUCUAUUAUCAUCAAUGGCUCUAGGCAGGGAUUCUUUAAUUCUUCUAGAGGGUUGAAACAAGAGGAUCCCUUCUCUCCUUCAUUAUUUGUUAUUGCUGUUGAAUGUUUGACCAGAGCUCUUAACCAGAUUCACCUCAUGGAUGACUUUGUUGGGUUCUCUAUGCAUAAAAAGGGACCUCAGAUUAAUCACCUUUAUUAUGAUGAUGAUCUAGUACUCUUCUCUUCUGCAAACAAGAGAUCUAUAAAACUCAUUAUGAAGCAAUUGAGGAUGUAUCAAGAAGCAUCAGGUCAAGAGAUCAACAAAGAAAAAAGCUUUUUCUUGACACAUGAGAGUAUCGACAAUCAUCACAAAAGAAGGAUUAAGAAGUGGACUGGAUACAAGCACCCACAAUUCCCGUUCACCUACUUGGGAUGUUCCAUAUACACUGAAAGGAAAAAAAAUCAGUCACUUUACUGACAUUACCACCAAAGUCCUGGCAAAGGCAGGUAGACGGCAAGGAAGGUUCCUAUCACCAGGAGGUAGACCAGUUAUCAUUAAAAAUAUACUUCAAUCUCAGACACUUCACCUGCUAGCUGCUAUGGUUCCACCGGUCACUGUGAUGAAUCAGAUUGAGAUGUAUUUUUCCUUCUUUUGGGGGCAUAAUGAAGGUAAAAACAAAUAUCACUGGAGCUCCUGGGCUAAAAUAUGUUUUCCAACAUAAGAGGGUGGUAUUGGAUUCAAGAGAAUUCAUGAUAUAUGUGAAACCUUCUUAGCUAAGAUGUGGUGGAGACUCAGAACUGAAAACAACCUCUGGACUAGGUUCAUGAUCGCCAAAUACUAUCCCAAAAGCAACUUAAUUGCCAAGAAUGGGAAUUAUAAAGACUCUAAUGCAUGAAGGGGCCUGAUAAAUAUCAGAAACAAAGUGGAAACUAACAUUCUAUGGAGAGUGAAUGAGGGGAACUUGCUAUUCUGGUGGGAUAAUUGGACAGAUGAUGGUCCUAUAAACUCCUCAGCUAAUCUCGCCUAUAAACCAAUAAAUACUAGAGUGAAGGAAUUCAUUCAAAAUAAUAGCCGGGAUAUUGACACUCUUUAAAGUAAAGUCCCACAAAAUAUUAUAGAUAUUAUAGAGACAGUGGAAAUGGGGAAUUCAAAUACUAAAGAUCAGGCAAUCUGGAAGCCUUCAUCAGAUGGAAACUUCUUUUGUGCAUCUUCUUUACAAAUUCUGAGACAAAGGGACACUCACAAUGCACUUUUCAGUAUAGUGUGGUCCAAAGAAAUCCCCUUCAAGAUCUCCUUCUUCAUGUGGAGACUGUUGAAAAACAAACUUUCACUAGAUAAUACUAAUUUGAGAUUUGAAUUUCAAUUAGUCUCCAGGGGUUGUUGUUGUAGACAAUCCAAGGAAGAGAACUUGCAACAUGUUUUUUUGGAAGGAGACAGCCAAAAGGGUAUGGCAUAUCAUUUCAAGCCCAUUUGGCAUCAAUUGUAGGGCUGGUGGUAUCAACAAUGUGUUAUACCAAUGGUUUUACCAACAUUCUAAGAACCCAGUGCACAAACCCAUUCUUCACAUAACUCCCCUUAUCACUAGUUGGGAGAUAUGGAAGGCCAGAUUGUUGGGAAAAAUAAUAAUUCCGCCCAGGAAUAAUAUCCACGACAAAUAAUAAUAACACAAGAGAGUAACAACGAUACCAAUUCUUUUAAUGGGUAAAAUACAAUACCCGAACGGAGCAAUAUAACCACUAUAAUAUUAUAAUUUAGUAGUGUCAAGAGACUACUACAAUCUUGAAAGAAAUAAUACUCUUUAUUUAAAACACUUCACUACAAUAUUACUCACACUCACUAUUUAUCUCACAGACUACAAUCUGUGGAUUACUCUCUCUAACUUCUAUUGAUUCUCUCUUAUUUUGGUGUGAUUGAAAUGAAGAAUGGAGGCCUCUAUUUAUAGUAAGAGAUGCCAUUCAACUACUACAAAGAAGAUGUUUUGUUGUUGAUUUAGUCCUAUAAUUUUUCAACAAAGUUAGGCACCUCCCAUUUUCAUCAACAAAGUUAGGCACCUCCCAUUUUCUUCAACAAAGUUGUCAACAAAAUUAGGCACCUCCCAUUUUCUUCAACAAAGUUAGGCACCUCUCAUUUUCUUCUUUGUUUUUAUUUAAUAUGAGCCCCACAAAUCUCUCCCUUAAUUUUGAUUUUUCUUUUUCAUUCCAAGACUUGAUCUCAAUUUCUGAAUAUCCUCAAACUUAAGAGGUUUUGUAAAGAUAUCUGCAGCCUGAUCAUGUGACUUCACAUAUUUGAGCUUGACUUCCUUCUUGGGAAUGCACUCUCUAAUGAAGUGAUAUCUUGUAUCUAUAUGCUUGCUUUGAUCAUGAUACACCAGAUUCUUGGCGAGUGCCUAUGCAGAUUUGUUAUCAAUACAAAUCUCUGUAGCUUCAAUUUGUGGCAAAUUGAGCUCCUUUAAUAAUCUUCUUAGCAAAAUAGCAUGACAGGUACAUGAUGCUGCUGCUUUAUAUUCGGCUUCACAAGUCGAGAGUGUAACUAUGGACUGUUUCUUUGUACUUCAAGAAAUAACAGAAUCACCCAAGAAAAACACAAAGCUAGUUGUGCUUUUUCUAUCAUCAAUAUCUCCCACAUAAUUACUAUCAUAAAAUCCCAUAAGGUUGAAAUUAUUAGAAGAAGAAUAAAAUAACCCAAAGUCGAUCGUAUGUUUUAGGUAACGAAGAAUUCUUCUAGUGACUUUCAAAUGAGUGGAGGUAGGAGUUUCCAUGAAGCGGCUUACUACUCUAACUGCAAAGAGUAUAUCUGGCCUGGUACAAGUCAAGUACUUAACUUCCCACAAAACUUUUGAAAANNNNNNNNNNNNNNNNNNNNNNNNNNNNNNNNNNNNNNNNNNNNNNNNNNNNNNNNNNNNNNNNNNNNNNNNNNNNNNNNNNNNNNNNNNNNNNNNNNNNNNNNNNNNNNNNNNNNNNNNNNNNNNNNNNNNNNNNNNNNNNNNNNNNNNNNNNNNNNNNNNNNNNNNNNNNNNNNNNNNNNNNNNNNNNNNNNNNNNNNNNNNNNNNNNNNNNNNNNNNNNNNNNNNNNNNNNNNNNNNNNNNNNNNNNNNNNNNNNNNNNNNNNNNNNNNNNNNNNNNNNNNNNNNNNNNNNNNNNNNNNNNNNNNNNNNNNNNNNNNNNNNNNNNNNNNNNNNNNNNNNNNNNNNNNNNNNNNNNNNNNNNNNNNNNNNNNNNNNNNNNNNNNNNNNNNNNNNNNNNNNNNNNNNNNNNNNNNNNNNNNNNNNNNNNNNNNNNNNNNNNNNNNNNNNNNNNNNNNNNNNNNNNNNNNNNNNNNNNNNNNNNNNNNNNNNNNNNNNNNNNNNNNNNNNNNNNNNNNNNNNNNNNNNNNNNNNNNNNNNNNNNNNNNNNNNNNNNNNNNNNNNNNNNNNNNNNNNNNNNNNNNNNNNNNNNNNNNNNNNNNNNNNNNNNNNNNNNNNNNNNNNNNNNNNNNNNNNNNNNNNNNNNNNNNNNNNNNNNNNNNNNNNNNNNNNNNNNNNNNNNNNNNNNNNNNNNNNNNNNNNNNNNNNNNNNNNNNNNNNNNNNNNNNNNNNNNNNNNNNNNNNNNNNNNNNNNNNNNNNNNNNNNNNNNNNNNNNNNNNNNNNNNNNNNNNNNNNNNNNNNNNNNNNNNNNNNNNNNNNNNNNNNNNNNNNNNNUUUCAUAGUCACUUUCUUUUUCUACAAGUACUUUAAAAUUUUUAAAAGUAGCAAAAACUUCAGAUUUUUAGUUCAAGAAAUAAACCCAAGUCUUUCUACUAAAGUUAUCAAAGAAAAUUAGAAGGUGGAUUGAUUUGUCCACACACAUCAGUGUGAACAAGCUGAAGCGGUUUGGUUGAUCUUGACAUGGCCUCCUUUGGAAAACUCCUCCUUGCAUGUUUUUCAAGAAGACAAGCUUCACACAAUUAAUUGGGAUGGCUUAUUGAUAGUAUCUCAUGCAUCAUGUUCUUUUCUCCAUUGAUUUGAGCGCUUCAAAAUUUAAGUGCCCAAAUCGCAUGUGCCAACACCAUGAUUCAUCUUGCACAUUAGCCUUCAAACACUUUGCAUCAAUUGUCUUAAGAUUUAGAGAGAAUAAUCUAUACUUAGCCAUAUGCACUUUAGCAAUUAGAAUUUUACUUGAAUCUCUAAGCCAAAGAUGCAUAUUUUUCAUGUGGAUGUCAUAUUUCUUUUCAAGAAGUUGGCCCAAACUCAAAAUAUUAUUUUUUAAUUUUGGUACAUAAUAAACAUCUUGAAUUAACUUGUAACUACCAUCUUUACAAUAGAUCAGAAUCGUAUUUAUCCCUUCAAUUUGAAUAUUUGAGGUAUCUCCAAAGGACACAUUAUCUCUCGCCAUUUUAUUGAUCUCCACAAACUUCUCUUUGCAUCCACACAUAUGAUUGCUUGCUCCAUUAUCCAAAUACCACGAGCUGUAAUCAUCCUUAUCUUCUUCCUUGAGUGCCAUCAACAGCGUUGACUCAACUUCUUCUUUCUUGUCGUCAACAAGUUUAGCUUUUUCUUCAAUAUUGCUACGAUAUUCCCAAGAGUAAUAGCCAAAUUAUGAUAAUUAUAACACUCAAUUUUUGAUUUGUCAUACCUUUGUCCAUUAUUUUCUUGGUAGUAACCACGUCCUCUUCCUCCUCUAUGUCCACGACCACGACCUCUGAAUGUCUGGUGGAUUUUAACUUCAUUGUUGAAGUUGUUAGCGUUGCUUCUUCCUCUUCCAUGACUGCCACGACCUCGUCCCCGUCCAUUUCCUCGAUAGCUCUUUUCACCUCCAUAAUCUUUGAAGGAUGCCUGAGUUUUAAGAAGUUUCUCCAAUGGCACUUCUUGUCUCCUCUUCAUCUUUUCUUCAUGGGCCUGUAAAGAACCCUCCAAUUGCUCUACCAUCAUAGAGUCUAAAUCUUUAGACUCCUCAAUAGCACACACCACAAAAUUAAAUUUAGGUGUUAAAGUGCGAAGGAUCUUUUCUAUCACACGGACAACUUUUAUGUUCUUCCCAUAUCUUCUUAAUUAAUUUACAACAACCUUCACUUUUGAACAAUAAUCUGAAAUGCAUUCGGAUUCUUUCAUUUUUAAACUUCAAAAAUAGCCCUUAGAGUUUGAAGUUUUACCUUCCUCACCUUGUCAACUCCUUGAAGAGAAUUUUGUAAAAUCUCCCAAGCUUCCUUUGAGGUGGUAGCAUCUGCUACCUUCUCGAACAUGGCAUCAUCCAGACAUUGAUGGAUGAGCGUGAGGGCUUGUUGAUCCUUCUUCCUUAUUUUUGCCAAGACAUCUUUUUCAUUUUGAGGCAGAGCUUCCUCAUUAUCGGGUUUUGCAUACCCUCUAUCUACAAUUUUUCACACAUCUUGAGAGCCAAGAAUGGCUUUCAUACGUAGACACUAUUUCUUAUAAUUAUCUUUUGUGAGACGGGGGUACUGAAAAGACAACGUACCAUUAUUUGCCAUGGCUCUGAUACCGCGUUGUUGGGAAAAAUAAUAAUUCUGCCCAGGAAUAAUAUUCACGACAAAUAAUAAUAACAUAAGAGAGUAACAACGAUACCAAUUCUUUUAAUGGGUAAAAUACAAUACCCGAGCGGAGCAAUAUAAUCACUAUAAUAUUAGAACUUAAUAGUGUCAAGAGACUACUACAAUCUUGAAAGAAAUAACACUCUUUAUUUAAAAUACUUCACUACAAUAUUGCUCACACUCACUAUUUAUCUCACAUACUAUAAUCUCUGGAUUACUCUCUCUAACUUCUAUUGCUUCUCUCUUAUUUUGGUAUGAUUGAAAUGAAGAAUGUAGGCCUCUAUUUAUAGUAAGAGAUGUCAUUCAACAGCUAUUACAAAGAAGAUGUCUUGUUGUUGAUUUAGUCCUAUAAUUUUUCAACAAAGUUAGGCACUUCCCAUUUUCCUCAACAAAGUUAGACACCUCCCAUUUUGUUCAACAAAGUUAUCAAUAAAAUUAGGCACCUUCCUUCAGAAUUAAAACAACCAAACACCAUAGCCUGUUACUGCUAGCUGGUAGUUUCACAUGGAAGACACAUUACUCCAGCUAGCACAAGUUUAAUUUUUGAGAAAUUAGGCUUUCAUGUGAUGCCACUAUGUACUGAAUGGAUUUCCAUUCCUUUUGCACAAGGAGGUCAUGCCUAGCCCCCCACAUGAAAGCCUAAUUUCUGAAUGGAUUUCCAUUCCUUUUGCACAAGGAGGUCAUGCCUAGCCCCCUCCUUUGUAAUUGUUUUAUCUGGAAUAAAAGUUCCACACUGUGGUUCAAUUUUUAAAAAAAUAAAAAAAUAAAAUAAAAAAUAAAUAAAAAUAUAUAUAUAUAUAUAUAUACCAAAGGUUUCUUUAUAUGUCAAAGCUAGUGUGGGGAAUGCUGCAUUUCAUGAUGACAAGAUAUGCUUAAAAAUUUGAUCGGCACGAUCGUAAAGAUUAGUAUCAUAUACUAUUAAUUUUCAAAUAAUAAAGUACGGUAUCCACCCAUAAAAAAUCAAACUUAUUUUUCUAUAUAAUCAAGCUUUUAGGCUUUUAGCCUUAUAUAUAUAUCCCAUGUGACAUUCCUGUUCUUAUAUACUACUCCACUAAAAUUUAAUCCACCGUAACCUCUGUUUUCUUAGCUAAUUAAAUGUAAAAAACAAAUACAUUUAGUGGAGACUUCCUUUAGUCAAUUUCAAGUUUCAUGAUCAAAUAUCUCCAUUUGGAUGUCCUUUACGAACCUCUCAAGAAUUCCCCCCUUUCCUAAGAGCAAAUUGUCUUCUCUUUCCUUUAAUUUGUAGACACCAUUUGGGUUGCAAAAUUUAUACAUUACACGUUUGUGAGGAAAAAUCAGCCGCUGAAUAGGCCACAGUUAUAUUAUUCGCAGCCUCUGGAAGCAGGAGCGGAUUUAGGGGCGGAAGGGUGUUCAUCCGAACCCCUUCGCCGAAAAAUUACACUGUAUAUGUAAGGCAAAAUUUAUUUUUUACCUCAAUAUAUUAUGUUUUGAAUUUUCUUGACACAACUCUAUAUAUUAUGUUUUGAAUCCUCUUGACAUAGGCCAAAAGCAUAGCUUAGUGGUUAAGGGGAUUCGAAACAUUCCCACUAGCUACUACCCUUUUAACUUUUUCCUUUUUUUAACCCCUUGGCGGUAAUCCUACCUCAGCUGGGGAAAGUUAAUUUUUCAAAUGAUAUUCAAACUUCUUACCCAACUGAAAAGGACAUAAGAAAUAAGAAAAUAAGAAAGUAAAUAGUGUAGUUAGCAAAAAUUAAAGAAUUGCCCACUUCUACUAUUAGCUAGGUAUUAAUUAUUUAAAUAAUAAGAUUAACAACAUUUUGUUGAGUCGACCAUAUGAAUACUUUACGUUCAAUAUCCACUUCAUUUGGAUCAGUUUCAUUUUAGCCACAAAAAAAAUAUUUUUCUUUAAAGAAACAAUGACAAUUAAGUUUAAGCUCAUUAAUAAAUUCCUUUUUCUUUUAUAUCUUAGAGUUGUGUAUUCGAUCUUCACUAACUAAUUCGUUUUGUUUUACCCGUACCUUAACAUCUUCCUCCAGAAAAUAAAAACGGAAAAAACAAAAAAGAAAAAGAGAACCGCUCGGUCCGUUAAUUUAAAUAAUUAGAAAAGAAUGGGGGUUUAUAUGUAGAAACUUGAUGACGUAAAUGUGACAAAUAGAAGCAGGGGAGAAUUAGGUGGAGAGAUUCGUCCCUCUACCCACUAUGUUUUUUAGGCAAAGGAAGGUACGACUUCUUCUAAUUCGGAUGUACAUAGUAUUAAUUAGUCAAACACUCAGACUUUUAAACUUUAUGAGUUUUAACUUUGCAACUUUAUUGAAAAUAAUAAUAAAUAAAUAAAUAAUAAUAAUAAUAAUAAUGUCUUUGAGUUAUCAACCAUGAUGUGAAUAAGGAUUGAUCCUGAGCUUCAUAUCAACCUUUUGCGUUUAAGAAUGAAUAAGGAUAUUUUUGUAACUUACUUUUUAGUUAGGCCAAAUACCUAGAGAGCCUCAUUAAACUUGGUAGAUUUUAUAAAAGUCGAAAUGGCUUGUACUUGUCUAGUUUUGUCAUGCCAGUAUUCGUACUUACGAGUUUUCAAACCAAACCCCUCUAUUCUUAAAAAUUGAGAAUUUUAAACCCUGCUCACCUUAUGUGGCAUUUUUUUACCGAAAUGCAUGUGAUACACUCGUUUAAGGAGCGUGAGGCCUAUUAAAAAGGCACCAACAACUAUUUUUUGGCUGUCAUCUUCUUCUCGAUUGUUCAUUCUCCAUUGUUAAACAAAAAUGAGCUCUUCUUCUUUGCUUUUUUUUUUUCUCUCUCCAACAUUUUCUGUCCAAUUCUUUCUCCCCUGCCCUAUCUUCUUUGUUUGUUUCUUCCCUUGAAUCUGAAAUUUUAUCAUGAAUUUAGAAUUCUCUGGCCAAUAAUUCAGAUAUCUUUUGAAGUUUAAUUAUAUGCCCUUUUUGUAGAAGGAAAACCCAUCAAAAUAUCAAAAAUAUCAAAUAAUCAAAAAAAGGGUCAACCGAAAGAUCCUCAAAAAUCACCACACCUCAAAAUUAACCCAUAAAGGAUUUUAAAGCAUAAAUUAUGCAUCUUUUACCAAUUAAUACUUUAAAAAGAUUUGAGCUUUUUGAGAAAAUUUAGCCCCAAAUUUUAAAAAUCAAACAAGGCAAAACUUUUUUCCAAAAUCAGCAAAGAAGAAGAAGAAGAAGAAGAAGAAGAAUAAGAAGAAGAAGAAGAAAAACAAUGAAUUAUCCCCCCACUUUUCGAGCUGGACAAAAAAUGGACCACCAAGCUUCUUUUCUGCCACCUAACACCUUUAGCCAUGGAAAUGGACCACCGAACUUCUUCUCCCACUUUUCGAUCUGGACAAAAAAAUUAAUUUUCUACUUCAAUUUCUUUUCUUUAUUCCUUUUAAUUUUAUUUCUAUAAUAUAUAAAGAGAGGGGGAAGAACAUAAAGAGAGAGAAACAAGAUGGGAAGGAGGAAGAACGUGAGAGGAGAGAGAGAGAGAAAUCAAUGGGGGAGGGGAUCAGGGGAUUAAUGUUUGAAUUUUAUUUUUAAUUUUUAAUUUUAAUUAUUUUUAAUUUGCCAUGUGACAUGGCAUCUAUAUAUUGUUAAUUUUUUGACGUGGCAGCCAACGUGGAGGCGUUUAAACAAUACGCACCAUGAGCAGGCUGAAGCGAAGUUUAAAAUACUCAAUUUUUAAGGAUAGAGGGGUUUGGUUGGCAAACUCGUAAGUACGAACAUCAGCAUGACAAAACCGGACAAGUACAGAGGCCUCCUAGUCCAUUCCGCCUUUGUAAAAUAAAUAUAUAAACUUACACAGUGGCUAGAUAGACACUUGAAAUCAUUCCAAGUGUAAUUUUUAAACACCUUUGUAUGUAAGACUAUAUGCAUGACGUCCAAACGCCAUUUAUGUUGCAAAGGAGCGAAUAAUAUUUUAAUACAUAUAUUUUUUCCAUGUAAGCAAAUAAUAGUCCAAAUUCAAAUAAUACCCCUUAUUUGUUCAUCAUGAAUCAUAUUCCCUCUAAUUCUAAAGAUAAAUUUCGUCCAAACUUCAACAAAGAUCAAGAGAAAAUCAUGUAAAGGUGGAGAAUUAGUCUUACACCUGGAGUUGAAGGGUGAUUGCUACUUCACCAAAUUAAUGAUAGAGUGACCCAGUGAAGAUGCAACUGCUAUGUAAAUCAAGUGCUUUUACACAGUGUUUGUUGGUGUUUAAGUUGUUGUUAUGUCUUGGUGUAACGACCCGACUGGUCAUUUUGAACUUUAAGGUUCCGUUCAGUGGUUCGAGGUCUUGAGUAGCUUCCUAUUAUGUAUUAUGACUUGUAUGCUCAGAUUUGAUUUUCGGAUGAUUCAAAAUGAAUUUGGAUGAGUGGUUCUCACUUUAGAAGCUUAAGUUGAAAAUGUUGGUCAAGGUUUGACUUUUGUAAAAACGACCCCGUAGCGGUGUUUGAUGGCUCUGAUAGGUUCGUAUCGUGAUUUUGGAUUGGACGUAUACCUAAAAUCAAAUUCGGAGGUCUGUAGGUAGAUUUAUGUUGUUUUGCCGAAAGUUGGCAAUUUAAAGGUUUUGAAUUUUGAUAAGUUUGAUCGUAGGUUGACUUCAUAGCUAUUAUGUUCAGAUUUUUAUUUCGGGGCUUGGAAUAAGUCUGUCUUGUCAUUUGGAACUUGUCCUUAAAGUUUGGCGUCAUUCCGAGUUGAUUUGAUAGGAAUCAGACGCGCAGUUGUGGAUUUAGUAGAUCUUGAGUUUCAUGUUGAAUUCAUCUGUUUUGAUGUACGAUUUAUGAUUUCGGAUGUUAUUUUGAUCGUUUGAUCGCGCGAGUAAGUUCAUGUUAUGUUUUUAGACUUGUAUUGAUGUUUGGUUUGGAGCCCCGAGGGCUCGGGUGAGUUUCGGACGCAUAGCUGAGUGUUGAUAGAGUUUAAGUCUGCUUGUUUUUGCACAGGUGCCUCAGGUCUCGCAUUUGCGAGUUUUGGAUUUCAAUUGCAAUGUUACGCCAUGUCUGUUGGGUUCGCAUUUGCGAUGGGCACCUGGGGGAGUUGGUUCGCAUUUGCGAUCUUCAAGGUCGCAUUUACGAUGGUCCUAUGUUCGCAAUUGUAAACUAUUCAUUGCAUUCAAUGAUAACAAAAAUGGGAGGGCUUCGCUUUUGCGAUGUUUUCUUCGCAUUUGCGAAACCCAGCCGCAUUUGCGACACCUUGGACUGGACAAAAAGCUGAAGAGUGGGAUUUUUUGUCUCAUUUUUAUAUUUUGGAACCCUAGACUCGGUAAGAGGCGAUUUUGAAGAGGGAUUUUCAUCUGCAAACUUUGGGUAAGUGAUUCUAAUCUAUUUUUAAUCGUAUUCCAUCAUAAUAUCUUAGAUUUUGACAUCAAAAUCAUGUGAAUCAAAGUGAAAAUUUGUGAAACUUUGUCAAGUUUUUGAAAUAUGAGAAUUUGAUUUUCGAGAGUCGAUUUAGACUUGAAAUUUAAAACUAAUCACAUAUAUAAACUCGUAGGGUUAUGGGUAGUCAGAAUCUAUCAUUGGACUCGGAUUUUGACCGGGCGGGUCUCGGCUUGACUUUUGAAUAAUUAUGUAAAGAUCAUUGCGUUAAUUAUUGAAAUUGAUUUUUCUUGCAUUAUUUGGCGUUAUUGAGUCGAUUUUGGUUAGAUUUGAGUCGAGCGGAGGUAAAUUGUAAAGGAAAAACUAUUUUAGAGUGUUAAUUGAGGGCUUUUAAGGUAAGUAUCUUGCCUAACAUUAUGUGGUGGGGGGGGGGCUAUCCCAUAGGGAUUGGUUGUUUAUAAUAUUUGAACUAUGUGAAAGACGUGUACACCAGGUGUCAUGCCAGCACAACCUGAUAUUCCGGUUCGGCCUGAGGUCAAGCCAGGGGCAUCAGAGAAGGAGAAGCUUAGGCUUGACAGGUUCAAGAAGUAUCACCCUCCUACUUUCAUUGGCUUGACUUCAGAGGAUGCACAUGGCUUUCUAGAGGAGUGCCACCGUAUUCUCCGAACCAUGGGUAUGGUGGAGAUGAGUGGGAUUGCUUUUACUAUAUUUCAGUUGUUGGGAGCAGCAUAUCAAUGGUGGCGGGUGUACGAGGAGGGUAGCUCAGCCGACACAACUUCACUUUCAUGGAUUCACUUUUUAGAUAUGUUCUUGAGAGAUUUUGUCCCCCAGACCCUUCGAGAUGUAUAGAGCGCGGAGUUUGAGCAACUGCGCCAGGGUACUAUGUAAGUGUUAGAGUAUGCUAUUAGAUUCAGUGAUUUGUCUAGGCAUGCACCCAUCUUUGUUUCUACAGUUAAAGAGCGAGUCUUCAGGUUUAUAGAGGGGCUCAGUUAUGGUAUCCUAUUCUGCAUGACUCAGGAGUUUGAGAUGGAUGUUCCAUUUCAGCAGGUGGUAGAGAUCCCUCGUCGAUUAGAGGGCAAGCAGGGCCAGGAGAGAGAGGGCAGGGAGGCUAAGAGGCUUCGUGGACAGGGAGGAUCUACUGGUCCCUAUUUUGGAGGCAGGGUACGUCAAGGUAGAGGUUUUGUGGGUCAGCCAGUUUAGUUUGCACUUCAGGCUUCAUGCGGUGUUUCAGAUAUCCAUAGGUCCUAGAGUACCCGUACCGUACAGCUUCCACAGCCAUGUCAGCAGAGAGGUUGCUUUGAUUGUGGAGAUACCAUCCAUAUGAUGAGAGAUUUUUCCAAACUCCGGGAAAAUGUGCCACAUCGGGGUAUUCAGGCUAUGAGUUUUGCUCCAAUUGCUUAUAUAUCUGCACUGCCAGCUAGGAGUGGAGGUCAGGCAGGUGGAGGUUGCCUUAGAGGGAGAGGUCGGGGCCAUUAUUAUGCUAUUUCUGGUUGGGUAGAGGCUGAUGCACCAGAUGAUAUCCUUACAUGUAUGGUUUCAGUUGAGUAUAGAGAUGCAUUUGUGUUACUUCAAUCAGAUCAUAUUUAUUGGUAAGAUUCAUCCUACCUUGCUUCAUAUAUGGCUGUGUUUUUGUGAUUCUUGCACCAUGUUCAUGUGUUCACGCCUGUUGAGAAUUUUAUUGUGAUAGCCCGUGUCGAUCGUUCUGGUUUGGUUGCUAUUAUAGGUCAUGAGACUUGGGUGGACUUUCUGUUGGUUAAAUACAGUAGGUUUUGAUGUGAUUUUUGGGUGGUUUGGCCACGCUUUAUGAUCUGGGUGUUCUACAGGUAUGAGAAGUUUGUUUCGUGUUGUGGUUUUGGUUCUACGGGGUUAGUUGGUAGAGUGUCUUAGUUGAUGAGAUGUUUAUUUUACUUAUGAUUCCGAGUUACAUAUGGGGACCUGGUGUUCCUAGUGAAUAGGUGUGUUGGUGUCGGGUUAUAUGCCACGGUGAGGUCAUAUUAAGGUAAGAUUUGUUGUGGUUGUUUCUUGUGUCUUGCUUCUUCCUUGUGGAUUGUAUCCACAGGAUGGUAUCAGUGGGUAGUUGUGCAUAUUUGGCUUGUUUGACAGUCCUCUCAUGUUUUCCUCUUUUCAUAUCCAGUCAUAUUCGAGAUGUGCUUGUUGGGUUUGGAUUGUGAUGUAUAUGCCCAGGCGGCGUUUGAGGUGGCUUGUUGAUCGAAUAUGUAGUUAUGAGUUCCGCAUGUUUCUUACAUUAUUUUCAGUGUUGUGAAGGUUUAGAAUAAGGUUCUAGUCAAUAUGAGUCUAUUUGUCAGCACCGGGCUUGGUAAUGGACGGCUAUUGCGGUCAGAGUUGUUGCUAUAAGCAUAUGGACGAUAUGUUAUGUUGUGUGGUUAUACCUUAUGGGUGUAUGCAUGAGCCGCUGCAGCUAGUUGAGGGUUUUACAGUGUGUUUGUCUGAUAAUAGGGCCCAUGGUAAUUGUGAAAAUUUGAUUCUAAGGCUUUUCGGCAUGAGUGUAAGGAAUAGUCUGAGGUUGAGAUGGUAUUGUCGGGCUUGGCACGUUCGAGGACAAACGUUUGUUUAAGAGGGGAGAAUGUAACGACCCGACCGGUCGUUUUGAGCUUUAAGUUUCCGUUCAGAGGUUUGAGGUCUUGAAUAGAUUCUUAUUGCAUAUUAUGGCUUGUGUGUAUGCUCAGAUUUGAUGUUCGAAUGAUGCAUAAUGAAUUUGGAUGAGUAGUUCUCACUUUAGAAUAUUAAGUUGAAAAUGUUGACUGAGGUUUGAGUUUUGUGAAAACGACCACAUAGAGGUAUUUUCAUGGCUCCAAUAGGUUUUUAUUGUGAUUUUGGACUAGGGCGUAUGCCCGAAAUCGAAUUCGGAGGUCCGUAGGUUGAUUUGUAUUGUUUUGCCGAAAGUUGACAAUUUAAAGGUUUUGAAUUUUUAUAAGUUUGACCGUAGGUUGACUUCCUAGCUAUCGUGUUCAGAUUUCUUUUUCGGGAUGUUUUUAGAAGAUCUUGAGUUUCAUGUCGAAUUCAUGUGUUUUGAGGUCCGAUUCGUGAUUCCAGAUGUUAUUUUGAUAGUUUGAUCGCGAGAGCAAGUUCAUGUUAUGUUUUUAACUUGUAUUGAUAUUUGGUUUGGAGCCCCGAGGGCUCGGGUGAGUUUCGGAUGCAUAGCGGAGUGUUGAUAGAGGUUAAGUCUGCUGGUUUUCCACAGGUGCUUCAAGUCUCGCAUUUGCGAGUUUUGGAUUGCAAUUGCGAUGUUAGGCCAAGUCUGAUGGGUUCGCAUUUGUGAACCCAGUGUUCGCAUUUGCGGUGGGCGCCUGGGGGAGCUAGUUCACAUUUGCGAUCUUCAAGGUCGCAUUUACGAAUCCUAUCUUCGCAAUUGCGAACUAUUCAUCGCAUUUGCGAUGAUAGUAUGAAUGGGAGGGCUUCGCUUUUGCGAUAGUUUCUUCGCAUUCGCGGGGUUCACAUUUGCGAACCCCGGGUCGUAUUUGCGACACCUACGACUAGACUGAAAACUAAGGAACGGGAAUUUUGGUCUCAUUUUCAUAUUUUGGAACCCUAGACUAGAUAGGAGGCGAUUUUGAAGAGGGAUUUUCAUCUACAAACUUUGGGUAAGUGAUUCUAAUCAAUUUCUAAUCUAAUUCCAUCAUUAUAUCUUAUAUUUUGACAUCAAAAUCAUAUGAAUCAAAGUGAAAAUUUGUGAAACUUUGUCAAGUUUUUGAAAAAUGAGAAUUUGAGUUUUUAGAGUCGAUUUGGACUCAGAUUUUGAAACUAAUAACAUAUAUGAACUUGUUGGGUCAUGGGUAAUCGGAAUCUACCAUUGGACUCGGGUUGACCGGGCGGGUCCCAUGUUGACUUUUGAAGAAGUGUGUGAAGAUCAUUGCUUUAAUUAUUGGAAUUGAUUUCUCUUGCACUAUUUGACGUUAUUGAGUCAAUUUUGUUUAGAUUUGAGCCGAGCAGAGGUGCAUGGUAAAGGAAAAGCUAUUUUAGUGUGUUGAUUGAGGGAUUUUGAGGUAAGUGUCUUGCUUAACGUUGUGUGGGGGAGCUAUCCCGUAGGGAUUGGUUGUUUGUACUAUUUGAACUACGUGAAAGACGUGUACACGAGGUGACGAGUGUGUACACGACUUAUAUGUAAAAAUUUUACCGGCUUAGACUCUUAGGUUCUUAUGUAAAUUAAAAAUGAAGUCGUCUUAUCAUGUUAAAUCCUCCAUUGCUAAAUUCACCCUUACGUGUCUUAUUUGUGGUUGAUUGGUUCAUGUUCUAUCCUUUAUUGCCAAAUAUACUCUUAUAUGCGUAAAUUGAAGUUGUUACCUCUUUUAUUGCCAUGUUAUCUCUUCCGUAGUUGAUUAUCCUUAAUUGAAGUUAUUAUUAUCUCUUCCAUUGUUGACUCAUCCUUAUUUGAAAUCAUUGUUACAUGUUACUUCUUUUAUCCUUGAGUUGUACCUAAUUGGAAUCAUUGUUACAUGUUAUCUCUCUUGUCGUUGAGUUGUACCUAUUUGGAAUCAUUGUUACACGUUAUCUCUCUUAUCGUCAAGUGUACAUCCCUUCCAUUGUUGAGUUACUCUUAUUUGAUAUCAUUGUUACACACUAUCUCUCCCAUUGUUGAGUUAUUCUCACUUGAAACCAUUAUUACUUAUUAUGUCUUUCAUUGUGAGCUCGUUCUUCCGUUUCUUUAUGUUUUGUAAUUCUUGUGUUGGUUUACUUGUCGUACUCUCAUGUUAUUGUUUUUGUUAUCAUUGUACUCAGUGUUUUUGAGUCGAGGGCUAUGCGUGGUUGUGGUACUGAAAUUAUUUUAAGGAAAUGUUGUGGUAUAUGGGCACAUGUGGUGCAAGUCAUUAUAUUGCAUUCUUAUGUUUUUGGCACACGUGAUAUUGUUGAGAUGAUUGUCGGCGCGUUCGCACGUGAGUUAUCCGUGCUAUUGUUAUCAUUGAUAAUUGCACAUGCGGCAUGACAAGAUGGGCUAUAUAUAUGUGGGUUUGCGCAUGUGGCUAGACAAGACGGGAAUAUUAUUAUGCGUGUGCGGCGAGACAAGAUGGGCUAUAUAUAUCUGGGUUUGCGCAUAUGGCCAGACAAGGUGGGAAUAUUAUUAUGCGUGUGCGGCGAGACAAGAUGUGCAUUUACUUUAUUGUUGCGCUCGUGGCGAGAUAAGGGGGGAUAUGUCGGGGAUGAUUUGUGAUGGACUGGGGGUAUUGUUAUUGAUGAUAUUUGUGUGGUGGUGUGUCUACCUUGUGUGAGUCAUGCAUUUUACGUUUUGUUGUGUUGUUUCCUAUGUACUAUUCGUUCUCUAUGCUCUUACUUGUUGAUUGGAGUUGUGAUAAAACAUUUGCUCAAGCAUACACGUAAUUAAUCACUCAUAUUGGUUUAAGAAGAUAAUCCUGAUGUUUAUUGAUCAUUUACAUGUAUUCUCGUUUACUUGUCUUCUGUGUGAGAGUUAUACUAUUGGCGUGAGUUAUCCGUGUGGUUAUGAGUUAUGGUUAGUGUUGGCACGUGAGUUGUCCGUGUGGUUAUGAGUCAUUGUUAUUGUUGGCAUGCGAAUUGUCCGUGCGGAUAUGAGAUAAUGUCACUCCCUUAGCACGUGAGUUGUCCGUGCAUAUAUGAGGUAUUAAUGGUAUUGGCACGUGAGUUGUCCGUGCGAUUGUGAUUUGUAAUAUGGGCACAAGAUGCCAAGUGAUAAGGGUUCAUGAAUUAGGACCCGUGAAUUGUGAUUAUGAGGUUUGGUACCUCGGGGAAAUUCUUGAAUAGAUCUUGAGUGAAAGCAUUUGUUCUUAUUGAGUUGUUACUUGUUUUCCUUACUUGGUUUCACCGGACUUGAACUAUAUUCAACUUUAUCCUCGGUGUUAUUACCUAUUGUGACUCGUUGCUAAUUGUUGCUUUUUUCUCUGGUUCAAUCGAUAGAUAGGCCGAAAACAUAUUUCUGGACAAAUGAACGGACCUAUUGCAAGUAUUGUUUUGAUAUUUUUAUCAUGCUUAGAUUUAUAUUGAUAUUGUUUCCUGUUAGUUUCACAUUUAUACUUGUACAUGUUAUUGUGUCUAGUAGGUGUCUUGACUAUUCCACAUCACUACUCCACUGAGAUUAGUCUUGAUACUUACUGGGUACCGCUGUGGUAUAUUCAUACUACGCUUGCUGCAUAUUUUGUGCAGAUCCAGGUACUUUGGAUUUUUUUGAUCGCUAGCUAACUGUUCGGGCAUUGCUGUGGAGACUCAAGGUAUACCUGACAUCGCGUUUGCAGACCUUAGAGUCACCUUCUAAAGUUAUUUUGUACAGUUUAUUUCUAUUUCGGAACAGUUGUAUUUAGAAAUUUUCUAGUGAACUCAGUAGAGCUUAUGACUUGUACUAUCGAUUUUGGGAUAUUGUAUCAUGUUGGGAUUGUUGGUUUUAUAUAGAAAUAUAUGGUUUAUUUUUAACUAUCAUUUGGGUUAAAUUCUGUCAUUUAAUUCAGUAAGGGUUAGGCUUAUCUAGUCUUAGAGACUAAGUGUCAUCACGACAUCCUAUAGAGGAAAACUGGGGUCGUGACACUUGGUCCUCAACUUUAGUUGUUUUGGUGAUUAGCAACUAAUAAUGGUUUUGCGGCUCAUAUUUUGAGCUUUAAAUGAAAAGAAAUAUUGCACUGUUUGAACCUUCAGUGCUAAAGCAUUAGCAUUGUGGUAAGUUAUGUGUCUUUUAUUUGGAUGAUUUGACAAACUUUAUGAGAGAACCAGAUAAGGAAACUAAUACAAUUAGUUCCCUUGUAUUUAGAAUAACUAGUCAGAUGGCUGGUUCAAUUCUCAAUGAAAUCAGAUAAGGGUACAUCAGAGGGAAUAGAUAGUGAUCGGUUCUUCCGAUCAUAGUACAAGUCAACUAUAUAGAGGUUAAAGCUGUUGUACUGUACACGCAACAGUACAACAACACUGUUGAAAUGUGCCAUGUACCAGACACUUCCUUGCAUCAUCUUUCAUGACCUCACACACAUAUUAUCAACAUGAGGCAGGGGUUUCACUUAACACUUGCAAAACCUAAACAAAGAUUUCUCUCAAGUGUACAACCGCCCUUAUUUCCUCUGAGGCAUUGAAGAACAAAGCAGCGACAGACCAAAGGACCAGUUCCCAGCAUUGAUAAUUUGUUAUGUCCUUUAGUGUUGUUGUGUUUUUGUUUCAUGUUAUUCACUUGUAAUUCCUACUUAGCUUUUCAGAAGUAUUUCGCAGGACAUCUCUUAAACCAUUAUUGUUCUUGUUAUUUUGACUAGAGUUAGUCAAGUGUGUAGCUUUGUAAUGGAGUCAUUAGAAAGAGGCUUACAAUAGAUUACCAGUUUAAUUUCUAGAUUGUAAUAGGUUAUAAUCUAAAGUUUUCUCAGUUAGUGAAGUUAAAAUCCUACUAGGGUAGGUCGUAGUUUUUAAUCCCAAGAGCUGGGAGUUUUCCACGUAAAUAUUGUUGUGUUCUUUACUUACUGUUGUUUCUGUGGGAACUAAUAGAGAACCAGGUUCUCUAUACAAUUUUGUAGACUCUUAGUUUCUAUCAAUUGGUAUCAUAGCAAGUUCUUUCUAAAAGGUUAACACCUAGAAAUGAUCUACAUGGCUGCUCCACCAAACUUCAAAGAAGGACAAUCAACUUACAAAUCACUUAGAUUUAAUGGCUAAUACUAUGGUUGGUGUAAAAUGAGAAUGCAUGAUUUUAUUAUGGCUGAGAAUUCAGAGCUCUGGGAUGUGAUUUGCAAUGGACCUUUUGUCCCCACGAAAACCAUUGGUGAGGGAACAAUUACAGUUCCAAAGAUAAAAUAGGAGUACAAUGAUGCCAAUCGAUAGGCCAUCGAGAAGAACUUCAGGGUUAAGAAGAUUCUUGUUUGUGGGAUUGGACCAAAUGAAUAUAACUGCAUCUCAGGAUGUCAGUUAGCCAAGGAGAUCAGGGAAGCUCUCCAAACAGCACAUGAGGGAACUACUCAGAUCAAGCAGUCAAAAAUUGAUAUGCUUACAACUGAGUAUGAACUCUUCAAGAUGAAGGAGGAUGAGUCCAUUCAGGACAUGCACAUGAGUUUUACCUCAAUCGUCAAUGAGCUUCACUCUCUUAAAGAAAUUAUCCAAAGAAAUAAACUGGUCAGGAAAAUACUCAGUGUGUUACCAAGUUCCUGGGAGAAUAAACUCAAUGCUAUCACGGAAGCCAAGGAUCUGUAGAAGCUGACCAUUGAAGAACUCAUUGGAAAUCUUAAAACCUAUGAGAUGAAGAAGAAGAAGAAGAAGAAGAAGAAGGAGAAGAAGAAGAAGAAGAAGAAGAAGAAGAAGAAGAAGAAGAAUGAUCUUGAAAGAAGAGAGCCCCAAAAGGAGAAGAACCUGGUUCUCAAGGCGGAGAACAGUGAAUCAAGUGGUGAUGAAACAUACAUGGCCUAUCUUACUCGUGGAUUCCAGAAAAUUGUUCGUAGAAAUGGAUGAAUUCCCAAGAAAGACAGCUCUAGCAGAAAUACCAAAGGAAAUGAUUGCUGCCACAAAUGCAGAAAUCCAGGACAUUUCAUCAAAUAGUGUCCUCUCCAUAAGCAUGACUGCUACAAACACAACGCAAACAAGGCGGUCAAGAGGAACCCGGUCCCUGACAGGAGGUUCAAAAGAAGAGAUGCCGCUGAUAAUGUUAUGAAGCAAGCUCUAGCUACCUGGGGAGAUUCCUCUGACGAAUCUAAAGGUGAUGAUGACCAAGGAUACACCUCCAUGAUGGAUGUUAAAAGUGAAUCUACAGAGUAUGAAUCUAUAUUUUCACUCAUGGUAAAAUCUGAUGAUGAUAAAGAAGACAAUGACAUUGACGAGGUAAGCUUUCUUGACGUUCAAAGAAACCUGAAAAAUUACUCUCAAAAUAAGCGGGUCUCUUUAGCAAAUGUCUUAAUUGAUGCUUACCACAACCUCAUUAAUGAUGAAAAUGCUUUAACUGAGGAAAUUUGUGAGGUAGAACAAGAAAGAGAUGAUUUGGUGGUUGUAGUUGUAGAUCAGAAGGAAACAAUGCAAGAAAUAACGAGGGAAAAUACCAUGUUAAAGAAUCAAAUUAGAAAUUGCAUGAUCAACCCUAAGGGAAAGGAAGUGGCAAGUGAGGCAAAACUUAAGUUUGAAAAUGAACUCAAAAAUGUCAAAUUAAGUCUUGUAGCUGAACUUGAAAGGAAUAGACAACUUCAGGAGGACUUAAGCAAGGUUAAAAAUGAUCUAGAUAAGUCACUUAAGUGAACCUGGUCCUCUAAUAUAAUCACUUCUAUGUAUAAAAGUAAUGGGGGAACAUGCAAGGAAUCGAGUUCCAUAAGGCUAAAUCUCCCUAUAAUCCACAUAGCAAGUAUGUUACUGUGACUGAUAACUGGCUUUAUACUCACUGUGGUCAAACUGGUCAUUACAAAGAUUCUUGUAAAGCCAAACUUCAGUCUCAGCAGAAAAAUAAAUUUUUUGCUGAAAAAGUACCUACUGCUAAGGAACUUGGUUCCCUGAAAAAGAAGCAUGUGAUUCCUGCAUAGACAAAAAGAAGUUUGAUUCACCCAUUCCAUCAUUACAAGGGACCCAAACUCGUUUGGCUUCCUAAGUCUAAUCUCUAAUUUUCUUGUGUAGGCAGUAGUGAGGGAAAGAAGUCAAAGAUGGUACAUGGAUAGUGGCUGCUCUAAAUACAUGACUAGAAAAAUGGACUAUUUCCUUACUCAAUGCCGUGCAAGGUGGGAGUGUGUCCUUUGGAAGUGGCAAAAAGGGAUACAUUUUGGGAGUCGGAAAGAUUGGCAAAACACUCUCCACUUAAUUGAAAAUGUGUAUUAUGUGAAUGGCUUGAAAUAUAGCCCGUUGAAUGUCUCUCAAAUCUAUAACAAAGGAAACAAAGUGGAUUUCUUGUCAAAGUCAUGUAUUGUCAUCAACCUUAUAACUGGUGAAGUGGUUCUGAUUGCAAAAAGGUUCAAAAAUAUUUAUGUUGCAGACUUUGAAUUUCUGAAUGGUGGUGAUCUUACAUGCAUGAGUACCAUUAAUGAUGAUGAUGAGAUAUGGCAUAAAAAAUUAGGGCAUGUAAGUUUUUCUCUGAUGAACAAGCUGAUCAAGAAUGACCUAGUUCGUGGACGGCCAAAGUCAACAUUUAAAGAUCACAAAGUGUAUGAUGCAUGUGUGAAAGAGAAGCAAGUCAGGACCUCAUUCAAACCAAAUAAGAAAGUGAGAACCUCAAGGCCACUAGAUCUUCUUCAUAUGGAUAUGUGUGGACCUAUGAGGAUCCCUAGUAGAUCAGGAAAGAAGUACAUCUUCAUUAUUGUUGAUGACUACUCCAGAUUCACAUGGACCUUAUUUCUCAGGACAAAGGAUGAAAUGUUUCCAGUUUUUGUUGCAUUUGUGAAACAGAUUCAAGUGAAGAUGAGCUAUAAUAUUGUGAGUAUCAGAUCUGAUCAUGACACCGAGUUUGACAAUGCCAAGUCUGAUGAAUUUUGUGCUGAAAAUGGUAUAAGUCAAUAUUUUUCUACUCCCAGAACACCUCAACAAAAUGAUGUUGUGGAGAGGAAAAAUAGGACUCUUGAAGAUAUGGCUAGGACAAUAUUGAUUGACAGUGGUGUGCCAAAGAGCUUCUGGGUUGAAGGAGUGAACAAUGCUUGUUAUUUGAUUAACAGGUGCGUGAUCAGGUCUCUGCUUAACAAGACCCCUUAUGAAUUGCUUAUUGGAAAAAACCAAAGCUGACUUACCUAAGAGCAUUUGGAUGCAGAUGCUUCAUUCUCAAUAAUGGUAAGGAAGCAUUGGGAAAAUUCAAUGCAAAGAGUUAUGAAGAAAUCUUUUUUGGUUACUCUUCUCAAAGCAAAGCAUACAAAUUCUACAACAAAAGGACUCAAUGCGUAAAGGAAAGUGUACAUGUGAUCUUUGAUGAAUCUCACCACUCAAAAAGAUUCACAUGAUAAGGAUGAUCUAGAUGGAGACUUCUCAAAGGUCCCUGGAGAGAUUAUAGAUAUGGAAAAUGGGAAGGUAGAUCUAAUGAGUUAAGUCAAGGAAACUAGUAAAAAAGAUGCAGCAGAACUUCCAGCUGAUUUGGAGGAACCUGGUCCCUCCAUCACAGCAACUGAAGUUGACAAUAGAGUUGUUGAUGCUGUAUUAGACACUCUUGGUGCAGAGUAACGAAGUGGUACUCAUACUUUCAUUGAUGCCAAUGUUGGGUCACACAUGGAGGAACCCAGUACCUUUGGUCCUGAAACCCAUGUGUCUAACUGGAAGCACAUGAGCUCACAUCUUCUUCAAAAUGUGAUCACUCCUUUGGACUCUGGUAUUCAGACUAGAUCCAAGGCAAGAAACAUGUUUGCUUUCUCAGCCUUCUUGUCUCAAAUUGAGACAAAACAUAUCAUGAAAGCGUUAAAAGAUGCCGACUGGAUUGCUGCUAUGCAAGAAGAGCUCCAUCAAUUUGAAAAAAAAAAUAUAUGGCACCUGGUUCCUCGGCCCUUAGAUAGAAUAGUGAUUGGAGCCAUAUGGGUGUUCAGAAAUAAACUUGAUAGGUUUGGCAAUACAACAAGGAAUAAAGCCAUGCUAAUGGUCCAAGGUUACAAUCAAGAAGAAGGAAUUGACUACGAUGAAAUAUUUUCUCCCGUUGCCAGAAUGGAAGCCAUCAAAAUUCUUAUUGUUUUUGCAUCUCAUGUGGAAUUCAAAUUGUUCCAAAUGGUAUUAAGAGAGCAUUUCUAAAUGGAUAUUUGAUUUUGUCAAGAAACCACCUGGCUUUUAAUGUCAUGAACAUCCUGAACAUGUCUUCAAGCUUAACAAGCUUUAUAUGGAUUGAAGCAAGACCCUCGUGCAAGGUAUGAGAGAUUGUCUAGGUUCCUUCUGCAGAAUGGCUUCACUAGAGGAAAAAUUGACAACAUCCUGUUUCUGAAGAAAUGAUGGAGGAACCUGUUGAUUGUGCAAGUUUACGUUGAUGACAUCAUUUUUAGUGCAACAAUUGAUUCCCUUUGUGAGGAGUUUGCAAAGCUCAUGGGAAGUGAAUUUGAGAUGAGCAUGAUGGGGGAACUAAACUUCUUCCUUGGGUUUCAAGUAAAGCAAACCUCUAAAGGAACUAUGAUAAGUUAGCAGAAGUACAUCAAGGAGCUGCUAAAAAGAUUUGAAAUAGAAAGCUCAAAAACCAUUGAUACUCCCAUUGCUAUUGCCACUCGUCUAGACAUGGACAAACCUGGUUCCCCUGUAAAUGAAACUAUGUAUAGGGGUAUUAUUGGAUCACUUCAGUACCUGACGACCAACAAACCUGAUAUUGUGUUUAGUAUUGGGCUAUGUGCUAGAUUUCAAUCAAUUCCAAAAGAAUCUCAUUUGAAGGCUGCCAAGAGAAUUUUGAGGUAUCUCAAGGGAACGUAGGACCCGGUCCUCUAUUAUUCCUCUAGAGAUAAUUUUGACUUAAUUAGGUAUGUUGAUGCUGAUUAUGCUGGAUAUCAGGAGGGUAAAAAGAAUACAUCUGGAAUGGCACACUUUCUGGGGUUAUGCUUGAUUUCAUGGGGUACAAAGAAACAAAACUAUAUGGCCCUCUCUAUUGCAGAAGCUGAAUAUGUGGUUGUUGCUUCCUGUUGUGCCCAACUACUGUGGAUCAAGCAACAACUAGAAGAUUUUGGUGUAUUUUCUAAUUGUGUGCCAUUAUUAUAUGAUAACACAAGUGCUCUCAGCAUGGCAAAGAACUUGGUUUAGCAUAAGAAGACAAAUCACAUUGAUGUGUGACAUCAUUUCUUGAGAGACAAUGUUGAAAAAGGACUCAUCUGUAUGAAGUUCUACAAAAUAAAGGACCAGGUAGCGAAUAUCUUCACCAAUGCACUGAGCAGAGAGCAUUUUGAAAGAAAUCAUCUGGAGUUGGGAGUGAUUAAGCUGAAUUGAGAACCCGAUCCCUCGAUGAUUAGCUAUGAAAAUAUGGUAAGGUAAGUUGCUAAAAGUGUUUUCUUGUGACCUCUAACUCAAUUCUAUACCGUUAUAGGUAGACACACAUGGAAAAUUUAGAACAAACAAGUGACAGAUAACAUUGCAAUUAUUUGGAAGUUUGAUGCUCAUAUUUUCAAAAUUUAUCAGGGAACCUGCUUGAUGGUGUACCUUCUUCGGGUCCUUCUGAUACUCUAAGAGGUCAUUUGGUAGAGUGUGUUAGAGAAAAUAAUGCAUGCAUUAGCUUUGUGUAUUAGUAAUGAUUUGUUUAGUACACCUUUUCAACCUAUGUAUAACUAAUACAAACAUUAGUUAUACAUUCUAUUUGGUAUUAUCCUAUGUAUAGCUAAUGCAUAGAAAACUAUGGCAUUAGCAAUACAAAGGCUAUUAAUGCAUGCAUUAGCAUGGUUAAAGACAAAAUUAUCCUUAAAGUCUCGUAAGUUAAAGAAUAUGGAGGGCAUUUUUGUAAACAAUUAAAUUUCUUAAAAAUUAUGCAAUGCAUUUUAAUUUUUAAUACACCACACCAAACAAUGCAUAAGAAAUAAUCUCUGUAUAACUAAUGCUUGCAUUACUAACCCCUGCAUUACUAAUACACCUUAUUUAGCAUUAUUCUUAUACGCCCUACCAAACGACCCCUAAGUGUUCAGGGGAUUGAUCUGAAUAUCUCAUCAACAUCAGGUAAUGUUCCAUCCUCUUCUACUGGUACAAUAUUGUUGGGUACUGAGGGUGAGACAGAUGGGAGUGAUGCAUUUAAAACAGGCUCUAUCUCUCUUGAAAAAUAGCAUAUUUCUGUUAUUGAAAGUUUAGUUGGGGUUUCUGUGAAUGAUGAUAUAGGUGCAGAGACUCAGGGGGAAGAAAGGGGUAAAUCUCUUGGGCAGACGGACCACACAUCGGUCAGUACUACAUGGGAGCCUACAGAGGGACCUGGUCCGUCUGCCCAAGAGAAGUUUUCUGCUCCUACUUGGGAUGAAACUCCUAGGUCUACAAGACAGCCCUUGGACAGUGCUGACCCAACCUCUUUUGCUCACCCUGUUACAGUCUCUUUGGAGGUUGUGUAUCCUGAGAUGAAGUCGAGGUUUGAGGGAGAAUGUGGUGAUGGUGAGGAUGACCUUGAUAAUCUGUCUGUAGCCCAAUUUAUAUCUUCUAGGAGUGGUGGGAAGGCCACAAAAUAUUCUUUACCUAAAUGACCCACCACUAGGCAGCAGAAGAAGGUUGCUCUUGACAGUGCAUUUAAAGAGAAUAAGGAGAAAAAAAGAAGGAGAAGGAGAAGACUUGUAAAAAGUAGGCUUAUUGAUGUGGAGGAUGCGCCUCUGGCAAAUGUGGUAGAGGUUGAUGAUGAGGAGACCGCUCAGGAACCUACUCCUCUUGUCUGGAAAACAUCAAAGAAAGUAGUGUUUAUAAAACAAAAGAAGGUUCUAUCUGACAAAGAUAAUGAAGUUGGUGAAGAAGGAUAUGAGGAGAAAAAGAGAGUAGAAACUAAGAAGCCUCUCAGAAAGAGGCCGAGUAGUAGUGAGGAACCUGGUUCCUCAAAGAGGGCAAGAGUAGAACUAUCUGAGCUUGAGAGGAGAGCAAAUUUAAAGAAACAGAAAGUCUGUAGGGGAGAGUGUUUGAUUAUGAGAUUCUUGAUCAAUUAGGCUUGAGGCAGCUGGUGAAGAUUUGUGACUUCCAGAAGUGGACUCAUAUUUUUGACAUCAAGUAUCAAAAAGUGUAUGAAGAGGAAGUACGCAGUUUCUAUGCUAACAUAUUUGUAGUGGGGGGGGGCACAAUUUGUUUGAAGAUCAAUGGGAAAGACUUUGUAGUGUAUGAGGCUCUGCUUGGGGAGAUUCUUGGGGUGCCUACUGAAGGUCUGUCAACUGUAGAGAGAACUUGUUUCCUUGAUUUUAAGAAACUAAUCAUCAUGCCUCGAGCUAUUCAGACAUGAGAACGAGUGCACAAGAAGUCACUUCUGCCGGAAUACCAACUGCUGUUUGAGUUGGUGAACAAGGUGCUGCUACCUAGGGCUGAGAGGAGAUCUAUGGCCUCUAUAGCGGACCUGCUUCUUCUGGAAGCACUAUACUCUUACUCCUCCAUCAAUCUCCCUAGAGUUAUGAUUGAGCAUAUGAAGAAGGUAGCAGGUUUCAAAGAUGGCAAUCAUGGUCUUCCUUAUGGGUUCCUCCUCACUAAGGUCCUUGAACGCUUUAAGGUCCCUUUGGGAAGAGCAUCAAUGGGGACUCGUAAUCAAAUCUUCACCAUGAUCACCUUGGAGGAGUGUGAUUGUGUGGACAAGAAGGGAGGUAUAGGAAGUAACUCCAAUAUCUCUUAGCUCAUCGAUGCUCAAGAUGCUGCAAAUGAAGAGAUUAAGCAUCUGAAGGCCCAGAAUGCCAUUCUUGAGUCUAAGCUCCAUUAGGAAAGCAAGGAACCUGGUUCCAAUAAUGCUCUGGGUGAAGAGAUUGCUCACUUGAAAGCUGAAAAUGCAUAAUUGAGGAACCAAGUGGAGAACCUGAAGGAGUAGCUGAUCAACGAUCAAAGGGUUGCUAAUUCUCGUAUGGAUAGCCUCAUCAAGGUCCUUUCUCCCUAGUCCUUCCCGUUCUCCAUCAUGUGUCCCAUAUCCUACACCUUUUCCAGUUCCUUCCUAAUCCUGCCUUGUCUUUUUGUUGUCCUUCCUUAUUGAUUGUGGAACUCUAGUUUUUGUUUGGAUUGUAUAUGUGUGUAAUUAUGGUACUGCUACUUUGUUUUUCUUGUUUCCUUAAUUAUGAGCAUCGUUGUUUAUUUACUUCAAUGUUAUACUCUUGCGUUCAGUUUUUAGUCAUGCUUUGUGCACAUAAGCGGUAUGAGUUAAUUUUGCGGGACCUUUUUUGCAUUUACUUGUCUCUUUUUCUAAUGAUGCCAAAAGGGGAAAAAUAGAAAGGGAGAAAACAGGUUCUCAGGGGGAAUAUGGCCGAUUCGUAAGGAGAACAAUAUGGAGAUCUGGUUCUCAGGCGAAAUAUCAAUUAUAAGUUUGUCAUCAUCAAAAAGGAAGAAAUUGAUAAGUUAUGUAUCUUUUAUUUUGAUGAUUUGACAAACUUCAUGAGAGAACCAGAUAAGGAACCUGAUAUAAUUAGUUCCCUUGUGUUCAUAAUAACUAUUCAGAUGUCUGGUUCAAUUCUCAAUAAAAUCAGAUAAGGGAACAGAUAGGGAUCAGUUCCUCCGAUCACAGUAUAAGUCAACUCUACAGCUGAUAAAGCUGAUGUACUGUAUACGCAAUAGUAAAUCAGCAUUGUUGAAGCGUGCAGUGUACCGGACACUCCCUUGCAUCAUAUUUCAUGACCUCACACAUAUAUUAUCAACAUGAGGCAAGGGGUUUCACUUAACACUUGCAAAACCUAAAUAAAGAUUUCUCUCAAGUGUGCAGCUACCCUUAUUUCCUCUGAGGCAUUGAAGAACAAAGCAGCGACUGCAGGGGCGGAGGGAGAAUAAGAGCUACGGGUUCGGCCGAACCUAGUGGCUUUGGUGCAAACCAUAUAUUUGUCUUAAGAAAUUCAUUGAAUAUGUAUAAAUUAUUAAUUUAGAACUCAAUAACUUAAAGAAUCCUUGCUCCGCCUCUGAGCGACUGACCAAAGGACCAGUUCCCAACAUCGAUAGUGUCUUAUGUCCUUUAGUGUAGUUGUGUUUUUGUUUCAUGUUAUUCACUUGUAAUUCCUACUUAGCUUUUCAGAAGUAUUUUGUAGGACAUCUCUUAAACCAUUAUUGUUCUGGUUGUUUUGACUAGAGUUAGUCAAGUGUGUAGCUUUGUAAUAGAGUUAUUACAAUGAGGCUUACAAUAGAGUUAUUGUGGGAGUUGAGGGAUUAAGAGUAUAAUUGCUAGAUUGAAAUAGCUUGUAAUCUAAAGUUUGCUCAGUUAGUGAAGUUGAAAUCCUGUUAGGGUAGGUCGUGAUUUUUAAUCCCGUGAGCUGAGAGUUUUUCACGUAAAUAUUGUUAUGUUCUUUACUUACUGUUGUUUCUGUGGGAACUAAGAUUCUCUAUACAAUUUGAUAGACCCUUAGUUUCGAUCACAUUGCUUUCCUCCUCUUGAUGUUGCCCGCUCUAUGUACAAACUUUUUGAGGCGCCUAUGCGAUUGAAUCUUGCUAAUUACAGGUCCUUUGCUUGCCUAUUUAAUGUUGCAAUUAUAAAAAAUUAGAAAGUAAUUAAUAAGGGUGACAAGCAUACUCUUUAUGCUGCCGUAUAUCUUAAUCUUUUGCAGCUCAUAUUUUGAGCUUCUGUAGCAAGUAUUGCACAACCUAAAUGGAGCCUUAUAGUUCAGGAGACAUAUAUAAUAUGUCAAGAACUCUUUUGUUAUGACUUAAUGCUUCUUGUAUAGGGGAUAUCUUACUAAACAUGUCAAGUUUAAGGGGUCAUGAAUCAACAGGAAUAGUGAAUACGGUAAAGAAGAAUGCACGGCAUCACCUUUCGUGCUUUUACUCUCAAUCUCACCAUAAAAUUAAUAGAAACGGCACGGCAUCACUCUUCGUGCUUUUACUCUCAUAUCAUGGCACGGCAUCACCCUUCAUGCAUUAACACUCACAAUAUGGCACGGCAUCAGCCUUCAUGCAUUAACACUUACAAUAUGGCACGGCAUCACCCUUCAUGCAUUAACACUCACAAUAUGGCACGGCAUUACCCUUCGUGCAUUAAUACUCACAAUACGGCAUGGCAUCACCCUUCAUGCAUUAACACUCACAAUACGGCACGGCAUCACCCUUCGUGCAUUAACACUCUCCCUUACCAUAAUGCAAUGCAUAAAUAACAACAAGGAGAGAGAAUAACAAAUACAAACCUUACUUCAACAUUUGGUUUCAUAAUAUCAAUCUUAACUUUGAAAUAAAAAUACAAUUAUCACCAGAAAAUUUUGUAAAUAUGAUAAGAACAAUAAUUUGAACAACACUAGUAUAAUAUGUAGCAAUUUGGCAUAGGAAUGAGACAAUAUCAGAAAAAUAGAGAAACAUGGAAAAACAGGUAAAUUGGCGGCACAUAGGUACUCGUCACCUCACACAUACGCCGCUCACAUAGAUUUCACUUAGCAAGUAAUCUAAGGUUCCUAAUUUUCUCAAGUCAGGGUUAGACACAAUACUUACCUUGCUCCGAAGGCCACUUAAUUCUCAAUCACAGCUUUUUCUUUGGAAUUCACCUCCAAACCACUCGUAUCUAUUCAAAAAUGAUUCAAUAAUAUCAAAUAUUGCUAAAUGAAUCAAUUAUAUUGCAUAAAUUAAAUUUCCCAAACUUUCCUCCAAAAAGUCAAAAAAAUCGACCCCAAGCCCGCUUGGUCAAAACCCGAGGUUCGGACCCAAAUCCUUUUACCCAUUCACCUCCGAGCCCGAAUAUGUAAUUAGUUUUGGAAUUCGACCUCAAAUUGAGGUCUAAAUUCCCGAAAUCCCUAUUUUCUACCCUAACCCCUAAUUCUACCAUGAAAACUCUAGAUUUUAGGUUGAAAAUUCAAGAUAUGUAAUGGGUAAUUUAAAGAAACAAGUUAAGGAACACUUACCUAUGAUUUGGGGAAGAAAAUGUCUUUGAAAAAUCGCCCUAGGCCUCAUAUCCUUUUGAAAACGAGAAGAAAAAUGGCUAGAGUCCGAAUUAAAUGCUCACUGCCCAACGACCUUCGCACCUUCGGUGCUUUGGUCGCACCUGCGCAUCCGCAUGUGCGGACGGGGUGUGCGCUUCUGCGGAAAAGGGCUGGGCCAACUGGGGUCGCACCUGCGGACAGGGUUCCGCUUCUGCGGUCCUUCUCCUGCGGAGAAAAGUCUGUAUCUAUUCAUGUAUUUGACCUUUUAAUUGGAGUACUACGUAUUACAUUCUGUAAAUCAAAAGCUGAUGUGGGUCAACAAGAAAAUUUGGCAUGGGCUAGGAAAAAACAAUUUGGCCUCAUCAACAUCAGUGGUUGGACCAAAAUAUAAGGCGAGUUGGAUUUCCACCAACUUCAGCCAAUUAUGGAGGAAAAUGGUGUAUACAAAAUGGCUACAUCAAGUUCAACCUAGAACUGGAUUCUAUGAUCAUUCCUAAUAUGCUCAGGGAAGAAGAAGCAAGGACUUAGGAAUAUUAUCAAAGAAACUUCUCAGAUCUUGAAGAAUGCAGAGGUUAUUAUAUUAUUUCUCACUACUACGGAGAAGCUAAUAAAGUGGCUGACUUUCUUGCUAAAUUGGCCUCCUCGAAUGGAAUUAGUACUUUCUAAUAUUACUCUUUCAAUAACUCACGAAAGAGGUAAAGAAACUUUUUCAACUUGAUAAAUGGCAAAUACCUAGCAUAAGAAAAAAAUAUGAUCAGACUAAUUUUUUUUUAAGAUAAUACUAAUAAGGUAGGUAGCUAGGAAAGAGUUUUUGCAUAGUAAAGUCCCUUUCACGUUUUUUGAAGAAUAUAUGUAACAAACAAGUCUUUGGUGUAAAAUUUUGGGGAUAAAGUCCAUAUCCCCCUCUUCUCUUUGUAUUUUGCAAAAUUGAUGAAUGGAUAAGGGAGGAAGGCAUCAUGCCUAAGGUGAUGGUAAUUUGAUUUAAAAAUAAUUGGAUUUAACUCCACCAAAGGUAGGCCAGGCACAGGAAACAUAGAUAAUAAUAGGACGAAGAAUUUUCAACGAGUGGCCCUUUUAAGGGCAGGUAUUUGACUUUUGUCCCUAGCAAAAUAGACACCCACCAGAACUUCUCCUCUUCAUUCUCCUCCUCUUUAUUUCUCCUUUCUCUAUCUUCUUCUUCUCCUUCUCAGUGUCUUCCAAUAAAUUAUGACCACGCAACUAAAAUUAAAAUAAUAAUAAUAAAAUAUCUUGUAAAAAAUUAAAGAUUUUUAUUUAUUGUUGGAAUUGAGUUGGUUAUAUUUUAUUGAGCUUGUAUUGUCUUUCCUUAAUGAGAUUUAUAGCCCGUUCGGCUAAGCUGCAAAAAUCCGUUUUUUGAGAAAUGCUUUUUUCAAAAGUAUUUUUUUGAUGAAAAACAGUUUGUGUUUGACUAAUUAAUUUGAAAAGCACUUCUGAGCAGCAUUUAGUGUUUGGCCAAAUUUUAAAAAACUGCUUCUAAGUGUACUUUUUUCAAAAGUUCUUUUCAAAAAAGUACUUUUGAAGAGAAACUAUUUUUUUCUGCUUCUCCAAAACUGCUUCUGCCUCUCCUUACAAGCACUUUUUUCCUUUCAAAAGCUUGGCCAAACACCUUAAUUUUAGAAAAAAAAAUAUUUUUGACAAAAAAAACGUUUUUGCCUCAAAAGAAGCUUGGCCAAAUAGACUAUUAGAUUGGUUUGGUAGAAGAAAAAAAAUACUAAGCUAGCGUUUGACCAUAAAUUUCCAAAUUUAUUCUGAAAAAUCUGAUUUUGGUGAAGUUUGGUUAUAAGACAAAGUAAGUGAGCAAUCAAUAUCCACAACAAAUUUUAAGUGGAUAAGUUAUAAAUGGAAAUAGUUGAUUGACGAUUAUGCACAUCAUUACAUUUACGCCCUUGGAUUUUUCAAUUGGAUUUCACUAAUGUGAGAAACUCACCAAAUCCUCUAACGGCGAAUUCCGUCGCGAGAAAACCGUAUGUAUAUUAGUGGGAGGAAAUAUAAAUGAGUUCUACGAAUUUCACCCACAAUUUAUGGAUAGCUCGACUUAGUAAUUUUGAGAUUUUGGACGACUCAAAUUGAUCUCUUUUCUUUUUUCCUUUUUUAAUUUUUAAUUUUGUUGGCUACUUUUCAGUUUGCAGGUUUUAAUCACAAACUUGGAAUGCAUAAAUUAUGUACAAAUAAGAUGUCCAUGAAACCUAAGAAAGGAAGAACACGCGCCUGCAUAUCUAUCCUUCAUUCCUUCUACGAAAAACGUCAUGAUAUCCUUGUAGUUUGUAAUUCUAAGCAUGUCAAAGUAAAAUGAAAUUCAAAGUUAAAAAAUUUCAGAUGUCAAUAUUCUUUUUGCAAUAGAUAUUUAAAAGGAAAAGAUGUAACAUAAAAUGAAACAUAGAUGGUAUAAUAUGAAAAGCAAUUUAAUUUUUUCUAACACCAAUGUAAAACAACAAGUAGAAAUAGAUAAAUUACACGAUUAAGCAAAAGCAAUUUUUUUUAAAAACUAACAGCUCCCUUCAUCAUUUUUCUCCUUAUCAGCAUACUUUUGAAGAGCGUCACCAUGUAAUUUCCCAUACCUAAACUCAUCAAAUAUUUCAACCCCCAUUUCAAUGUAAAAAUCAUAAGACUUCUUAUUCCAAACUGCAACUAUCCCUUCUACCGAAACGAAGCCAUUGUUUGCAGCAAUGCAUGCAACUGUUCCAAACAACAAUCUCCCCAUUCCCAACUUCCUGUAACUUUCCCUGAAGUAAAGGCUCUCGAAAUAGAAUCCAGGUUUGUCAUAGAAGCACGAAUAAUUGGCGUAAAAGAAAGCAUAUCCCGCAAUAAAAACAUCAUUUUUAUCGUUCCCAUCAUCAUAUUUGGACCUGAAUUCAUCUGCUUCUCCUUCCACAACGGGGAAUUUAAGGUCGAAUGUUUUAAGAACGGGCUUGAACCCUUGGUUCGUGGUAUGCUUGGAUUCGGUAAAAGGGGUUGGAGAAACUUCAAGUAGAAGAACAGAUGGCCCGUAAUAGAGUGGAAGAGGAUUUUCUUUGAAGAGCAAGUCUUCUAAGGAGGAGUCAGUCGCUUUGUAAAGAUGAGUAUUGUUGUGGUAUGCAUGAAUUUGGUAAAACAGUUGGUAUAUAUGGUAGAGGUCAGCUUUCGUAGCGAGACGAACUCUAGUGUAGAUUUUCUCAGUGAUCGUAACGUUAUUUUCCGGAGUUGUUUCAGAUAUAGUUGAUGCCAUGGUGUUAAUCAGUUAAGAGAUCUAAGAGGCUAGGUUUCAAAUAAAAAAGAGAAAAAUAGGGAGCUUGGGAAAUGUUGAAAAGACUAGGAAGAAUGUUUUGGUAUGGGAU
rnacentral:lncRNA from 1 species